rnacentral:lncRNA from 1 species
CAAUCAACAUGACGACAGGUCAACCAACCUCGGUGGAUAUACCGAACGCUACGUCGCAGACUUCAGCUGCGGAGAAUGAAUGGAUGAUUCAUUCGGUGGGUUGCAAAUGCUAAAAUGAGUAUUUGCGGGAGCAGUAGCUCUGCUGCUCAUCCAACCCUGGAAGGGCCAACCAACCGUAUGAUGUCGCUGUGCCCACAUCAACUCCAUUUCACAGCAUUUAAAGCAUUCCAGCCGAUGGGGACCUACAUGUCUGUACCGACGGCCGAGUCUCUCCAUAACGCUGCUGCCGUUGGCUCCAUCGGUGGGCUCACCAGCAGUACCAGGUUGAGCUCCAUGGUCGGUUGGUGUGGCUCAUUCAUAAGCCUCUCUCUCUCUCUCUCUCUCUCUCUCUCUCUGUGUGUAAGUCUUCAUCACUCUCUCUCUCUCUCUCAGACACACACACACACACACACACUAAAUCGGGAGCGGACGAGGGAUGGGUGCCCGCCGAGAUGAUGAUGAUGAUAUCUCUUCAUGGCUUUCAGUCUUCCGACCCUCUCAUAUGCACUUGCAGUUGUGUGGGGGCGGCCACCAGCCUUACUUUUGUCAGGAUUCUGGGGACGAUCCCCAGCCUGCCUUGGAGGAGGACGGCAUGCUCUCACCGAUGCAUGGAUAUGGGACACGGAUGAGCCCACCCGGUCGUGGAGAGAGUGAGAGAGAGAGAGCGCGAAAAGAGGAGUGACAACACGCCAUAAAGCAACCCUACUCCUUCCUAGCUUUCACCACUCCCCUCUUUCUUACUCCUCCCAAGUCCUUGAUGAGGACCAUCGACAUGGGAAGAAGCACUCCUCGUGACUCCCCGUCCUCCCCUUUCUCUUCCUCCUCCACCAGAAGACACUUCCAGUGGAGGAUAAACAAGUGUCCCAAGGAAGGAGCAGCUGAGAGGAAGGAGCGAGAUGACCAGCCGGAUGAAGAGAAAGCCGCUCCCUCUUUCUUGGCCUCCUCCUCAUCCUCAUCCUGUCCUUGCCGAGAAGAGACGGCCGCCGCUGCUGUGCCCAAGAAGAAGAGGACUGCUUCGGUCGCAGACGCUGCGGUCUCCAGGCUUCGGUCGCUUCUCGCGGCCGCGCCUUUCCUCCGCCGGAACCGGAUGGCGGGCCUCGGCGCCCACGUCACGGGGACGCUCUACGGGCACCGGCGCGGCCACGUCCACCUCGCCUUCCAGGCGGACAGCAAGUCGUGCCCGGUGGUGCUGGUCGAGCUGGCCACGGCUACGAGUGCGCUCGUGCGCGAGAUGGCCUCCGGCCUGGUGAGGAUCUCGCUCGAGUGCGAGCGCAAGUCAGGCGGUGGCGGUGAGAAGGCGGAGACGACGACGACAACGGCGACGAGGCUGGUGGAGGAGCCGCUCUGGCGGGCGUACGUCAACGGCAAGAAGUGCGGGUUCGCGGUGCAGCGCGACUGCGGGCCGGCGGACUGGAAGGUACUGAGGGCCGUCGAGCCGGUGUCCAUGGGGGCCGGUGUGAUCCCAGGCGACGGCGGCAGCACCGACAGGGAUGUGAUGUACAUGCGAGCAAGGUUUGAGAGGGUGGUCGGCUCCAAAGACUCGGAGGCCUUCUACAUGAUGAACCCCGACAACAACGGCGGCCCUGAGCUCAGUGUCUAUCUUCUCAGAGUCUAACAACAUCGGACUCUGCUGCUCUGUUUGUGAUAAUAGCCAAACUCCUUAACAUUAAAGUGUAAUCUACAGGUUGUGCUUAGGGUGGGAUGAGUCGCCUUUCUACUUCUUCUCUGGGUAUUGUAAUCCGUCCUCUGUUACUGCUCACUGUGAACAUAAAUCUGCACUGGCUUUUUCCAAGGAAAGCUUCGGCACGGUCUUUUACUUCGCAGCUUGUUUACAGAUCAUGGCAAGCGUAUCACUCGACUGUCAAGUAGAAGAAGAGGAGCUUCCUAUGUUGUUUCGCUUCGGAAGAUGAUUCCAGUAGAUUUCACAGGGUCUUGUCUCUGCCAAACAGCCAGAGGAAUACAGAAACCUCCAUUGCAGACGCUCCUCAAUCAUUGCUGCUGCUGCUGCCAAUUUGAAAUGUUAAAGAGGUUUAAUGGCAGAAGAGCUCCCACUUUGCUAAGGCCAAACAAACUCCAUUAAGGAUUUCUGCAAGCAUCAUCAUGAUUGCAACCUGCUUUUCUAAAGCUGUAGCAGCAGCAGCAGCAGCAGCAUAAAGUGUGACUUGUGUGGUGCUUUCUUCUUCUCCUCCUCCUUGGAUGCAACAAAUCUUUGUUGUUGGUCAAAGUUUUCACAUUUGAUUCCCUGUAAGCUGCUCUUCAGUACCAUCCAACCCUAAUUAUUUAAGGUACUAUGAUGUCAGAACAAGAAGCAUCUUAUUAUUGUAUGAAGCCUCAUCGGAUCCAUUUUACCGCACGGCUUUUGCCACACAUCGUGCAGUGUGAUGGACGCAACUCGACUUGUUCUUCUAGCUUUGCUUGGAUUUUAGCUUCCUCCAUGAAUAAAUACAAUGGAGUAAAAGAUCUAUUGAAUUAGGACAAUAUAGUUAUUAACUUUACAUCUCCUUUUCUUUGAAAGAGUAAAAGAUAAUAGACUACAAAAUAUCCCUUCUUUUAGUGCUUUGUAUCUUUCCCUAUAUUACACUUGCUGCUAUAUGAACAGCUUUGAUUGGGUUUGGGGAUGAUGAAGCCACACACUCUCAGUGUCUGUGUAAUAACCAGUAAAUAUGGUAAAUUUCUUGCAUGAUUAUAGUCUAACAAGGACAUGAUGUAUAUCUAUAUCUAUCUAUAUAUAUAUAUAUAUAGAGAGAGAGAGAGAGAGAGAUCCACAUGAGACAAUUCUGGGGACCAUCUUUGCACAGAUUAAUGUCAUGUUAUUGUCAGACAGGCACCUCCACAUCAUGUAUCAUCCUCAAGAAGAUAUCUUCUAAUAAAUAUUUCAAAAUAAUAUUAAAAAAAUUAUGUUGUUCUUGUCAAUCACCAAUAGCAGAUAGCAAGAGAACAAUCUUAAAAAUUAAUAAUAAUAAAAUCAAUUAAAAAAAUAGUCGAAACAAGAUUUAGCUGGUCUAUGAGCUUCCUCUGCUUUCUCCUACUCUACUGGGGUGGGUGGUUCAUCAAACAUACUCCACAGCUGCAGCCAUUCCAUUAGGAUCAUCCUCCCUCGGUACAAGUUGCCAGCCUUGAAGGGAGGGACAGAGAGUGACCAGUGCUGGGUACAUCAGAGACCAACAAAUCCCAGAGAUUCCACCUCGGUUCUCGUGCUCCGUGGAUCAUCACCGUGCAACCCAACCCUGUUGUAGAGCUCUCCAUGGGAACGCGCUCUUCAGCUGCUGCCUCGAGAAUUCUUCGUCUUGGUGGAGGAUUCAAACAAAGCUCAGGCUUCCGCUUUGCGACUACAUUAGUCUGUCGUUCGGAGCCUCUGCAAUCAUUGCCAUGAAUUCUGUGGCAUGCAAAACUCAUAUGUGCUCGAAUCCCGUUAAAGUGGCUCCUCUAAAAUUUCCAGAGAGCAGUAAAGUGGGUGACGACCAUGGAAUUGGAGUUGCACUGUGCAAUGCAAUGCAGCACUUCAAUUUCAAGUCGCCUUUGUAUCAAUCAUCAUGCGUUACACAGCCUUCUGUGUGGGGGGAAAUUAGCAUCUCUGCUUUAUGCCUUUUUCUUUUUUAUUUCUCUUUUCCCUUCCUUUUACCCUUUUUUUUUUUCUUUGGAUAUAUUAAUUCUUUGUGAGUACAAAUCGAGCAGUUAUGGUCGGCUCACAAUCCAAAUACUAACUUUGGGCUCCAUUAAUGGACGCCAUGGGCCGGGCCUUAUAGUUAUAAGCAAGACCCAUAACCCGUUGGUAUGAUCACCGAUUGUGUGCUUACCGUGCACAAGUCCAGCGACAAAGAGGGCCAAAAAAAAUUUUUUUGGCGUCAAAUCCUUGAUGUUCCGCUUUCUUACCAUCACCGAUGGUGACCGGAAUCCAGAAUUUACUAUUUUGUCCUCCGCGACUAUUACCCUACAGGCAAGACCCAUAAACUGUUGGUAUGAACACCGCCCGUGGACUUACCGUGCACAAGUCCAAAACAAAGAGGGCCAAAAACAAUUUUUUUGGCAUCAAAUCCUUGAUGUUCCGCUUUCUUACUUUCACUGGAGGUGACCGGAAUCCUGAACUUACGAUAUUGUCCUCCACGAGUAUUACCUUACAAGCAAGACCCUAAAAACGGUGGUAUGAACACCACUUGUGUGCUUACCGUGCACAAGUCCAGCGACAAAGAGGGCCAAAAACAAAUUUUUUGGCGUCAAAUCGUUGAUGUUCCGCUUUAUUACUAUCACUGGUGGUGACCGGAAUCUUGAAUUUACGAUUUUGUCCUCCACGGCUAUCAACGGACAGCAAGACCCCUAAACCGUUGGUAUGCACACCGCUUGUGUGCUUACCGUGCACGAGUCCAGCGACAAAGAGGGCCAAAAACAAUUUUUUUGGCGUCAAAUCCUUGAUGUUCCGCUUUAUUACUAUCACCGAUAGUGACUGGAAUCUCGAAUUUACGAUGUUGUCCUCCACGACUAUUAACUUACAACAAGACCCCUAAACCGUUGGUAUGCACACCGCUUGUGUGCUUACCGUGCACAAGUCCAGCGACAAAGAGGGCCAAAAAAAAUUCUUUUGGCGUCAAAUCCUUAACGUUUCGCUCUCUUAUCAGCACCGGAGGUCACCGGAAUCUUCAAACUUGCAGUCUUGUCCUCCACACCUCAUCCCUGCGACCUGCUAAUGCCGUCGUCUUUGACGUGACGAAGAAGAAAGGAGGAGUUGAAGAUCAAACGUGGGAUCUCUCCGAUUGGCGCGUGUUAAUGUGGAAUCCCCACAUUACAGGCUAUCCCCACGCGUGUGUGACCGAAGAGGUUUCUACGUUGUGGAGCUGAGAUAGAACGUAAAAAUAAGGGAAGUCAUGUCUACAUUAUUAUUAUUAUUAUUAUUUACUCCUUUGCUACGUGCAAAGAGAUGGGUUCAGAUACAAAAGAUAGGUACUGAGGUCCAUCACACAUCACAUGGUUUGGAAGUCUGGAAGAGAAAUAGAGCAGAUGUUGAUUCUGAUACUAUCUGUACGAUCCAAUAAACACACCCCUAUUCGUCUCUUCUUUCAUCUCAGAACAAUACUUUGCGAAUGACUCGUGAAUCUAUUUUGGAUUGAGUUGUCGGGUAGAUUCGUAUGCAGUAGAAUUUGGUAGCGAAUGAAAAAUAUAAAUUAGAUUUCUCAUCGAUUGAUUCCAUUGCUGCCCUCAAUCAAUUUCAGUUUUACAUCUAAAACGAUCGAUAUACCAGCUCGAAAGCUGAUCCGAUCGAUCUAUCGAUCGAUCGAUCAUGUAGUCUGUAGCUCCACACGACGCAAAUCACGGUGGCCGGUUCCCCAGAAGAAACAUGUGUUGCUUUUGUUGGUUCUUGAGCUAGGGAUUAAAUGGUUUGUCGCUGGUACUGCUUGCUGCACCUCCCAUGCUACGUACCCUUAUCGAUAGAGGUCAACCCAUCGAUAUAUUUCUUCAUUUAAUGACUAUCUUUGUAGUUGACAUUGAGCCUUGUGGAUUAGAGACAACACUGUACAUAAAAUCCUUAUUCUAUUCCACUAAUAGCUCGGCUUGGAUCCUUGUGCUGCCAAUAAUUUCACAGCAGAAAAUGGAGUCUUCUUCUCUACAAACUGAUGAGGUAGACAAAAGGCCAAAUUCAUUGCACUGAUGAACUCAGUUAGCGUUACAUCUGAGUUACAAAUGAAAAGGGAAAGGGAACAAGUCCUUCCUGGCUUCAAUCCAUGGCUGUUUUGGGUCACUGCUUAGACCUGCGGUUCCUGUCUCCGUGAGUGGAUAAGAUGGCAUCGAUGGCUUCCUUUGCUUUCCCAACAUCUGGUGCUUUCCCCCCUUGCGCCGGCCAGAACUCAUCGGUUGCCAACACCUGCAUGGGAUUGAUUCAAAGGCCUCAUUCAUUUAUUUCACGCCGAAGAAAAAUAUUGUUCGGAAGGAAAACAUCAGUGUCUGAUCUCGCUACCUUCACUUGCAACUGAAGGAACUUCACGUAGCUAAUCGCUUUCUCUAGCAUGGUCACCAAAUCAACCUACGUAGAUUUUAAUGGAGAACACAUGCGGCAGCUAUUAGUGCUAAUCAGACAACCGUGCAGGAAACAGAAUUAGGAACGCGAUUAGAUGUGAAGCGAGACAAACCUUUGUGCCAUCGGGAACGAGGCCUUGUAGAACUUUGAGCCGCUCACUGAUCCGUUCCCUCCGGUUCUGCAACAAGGAUGCACCUGUUAGUCGACCUAAUCUGCGAGUUACCUCCGAGUGAUUGAUUCUCGGUCAUGUUCUUGACCAUCAAGCCAUAUUACUGAACCCGAUGGAGACGGGGCAGAUGAAUGAGAACACCUUUGCUGCAAUACUCUGAGGAUCCUCGGAUGGGCUAGACUUGUCUUUGGUCUUCCUAGCAUUACCGCACUGCUUCUUGGGACUUUGCAUAUCACAUGCGUACUGCAUCAUUGAACCCAAGAAACCAACCACUUCAAUAAUCGGGUUACGUUAGUAAGUAUCAGCAUGAUCAAAUCUAGAAGACACCAAAAUACCGUGCGCGGGCGCUUUUGCUCCAUGCUUUCUUGAAGGCCAUCAACGGCAGCUGCUGCACAGGGCUUCUCCUUCACGGGGCUUCUUACCGAACCAUACCCGCUUUCCAGCUCCUGAAUCGGCCCGGAAUCGGCAGUUCGACGCGUGAUAUCAGGGCGAUUCAACUGGCAAUUCUGACCCAUGGCGUCAAUCCAGGCAGCGCAUUCGCCCUCGUCGUCGCCUUGCUCGAAACUAAGCACCCAAGCGUUGGAGUAGGCCCAGUGUUCGGAUGAGGUGGUUCUACAGUCGAUGAAAGAGAGGACUUCUUCGGGCGGGGAAUUCACCGUACCAUGCACGUACGCAGUGCUGGACGAAUUGCCAGGGUCUGAUAGGAAAGGAAGAAGACUGCCAGUGUAGCUCCCCAAGGAAUCAGAGGUUUCUCCCUCUCGGAGCAUCAUACCGAAUAGCUCAAGCGGGCACACUUGUGAGCCUUCUCGAUUACGAUCUCUUGCGAGGGACAUGAAGAGGUGUGAAAUCUGCUGAGUAACACAAGGGAGAGGAGAGGGGAUUUGCUACUUGUGGUGGUGCUGUUCUUGCAUGUUGUUAUAUACGCAUGCUUCGAGUCGCGCCUCAUAUAAUUAAAGUGCAUGUGGGUGAGAUUCUGUAUAUGAUCAGAAUUAAAUGCAACUUAGCAGUUGCAUGUAACUUUGCGAGGAGUCGUUAGGUGGCAUGAAAAGAAUGAAUGGAGGAGAGUUGGAAGCAAAAGGGACGCCGGAAGUCUGGGAAUCCCAUGUGAGUUCCUCCUUCCUUUCUCAUCACUUCCACAACCCUGGAUCGAGUGGCCAUGAAUAUAAAUCUUGUGGCCAUCCCCUCGAGACAUGUUUGAUUCUAGACAUUACACUCGGAAGCUUCUAAUGCUUAGUUUCUUCUACUCAUCAGAGAUGAACACACACGCUUCAACCAGAUUCCAUUCAUGCAUCCUACCAUCUGGUACAUGAAGCUCCCGUUCUCGUCGCUGCCAUUUCUCUCAUAUAUGAAGCCUCUUCUCUUGUUAAUGUAAUGUAUCUCGAAUAAACAAACAUGUAUGGGAACCCUUUUUUUGAUGCAAUGCUCAAGAAAGCUAUACUAGGAUAUUGUGAAUCUAAGACUUAAAUUAGAUUGAUUUGUAAGAGAUACAUUGUUGUUAAUUAGAAAUGAAACAUUUUAGGUUAGUAUAUUAUUCGAUAGCUGUGUUUAUGUUACAAUUUAAUUUGAAAUUAACUUAAAUAUACUGUUGUACGGACGAUCUGAUUCCGUUUGAUGUAAUCGUCAAUUGACGUCUCUCGUGGAUACAUGAAUCCAUCACGCUUCCUCCUCAUCCCAAUCAAUCAAUGAUUCCCACAGAUCGCCUUAAUCUUUCAAGAACCGCAAUUAACUCCGUCUUCCGCUUCGACUAUAAUAAUACCAAAUUAAGUGAAAGCCUCUCCGACUCGGCGAUGUUUCGAUCCACAUAUACGUAGGAUUCUUCCCAACCUCGAAAAGAGGCAGCGGGCCGGCCGGAGCUCCUCAAGGUUCAUCUCUCUCUCUCUCUAUGUGCUUUUAUAUAUAUUGGCCAUGAUCCCAAGAAAAUACAUAUAUAUUACGAUGUUUAACAUGAUGAGUUGUUUUUGCAGUAAAUAAAAUAUAAAGGAACUUAUAAUUAAUUUUCAUUUAUGUAGUGUUUCUUACCUUUUAGACGAUGAUGUUUAAAAUUCUGUAACAAAAAGGUGAUUGCAUCGAAGGCUUCAUCAGAAUAUUUUCCUGUUUUUGUUUUCAAUUAGAUGUUUAAAUUUUUCAAUUUUUUAUUGUUUAUAAAGAUCAUGGUAUGGUAUGACCUGAUCUGUGUUAUAUUUUUUCUUUCCUUUUAAUUUUGGUUCGAUGUUUGGGAGACUAAUAAUUUCUGUUUGGAUCUUUGAAUGUAUUUGGAGAUGUCUAAAAUAUUUAUUAUUUAGAGUAUUUUAUGGAAGUCAAAUUGCAUACAUUCUAAAGAAGGAUAAUAGAAGACUACAUUAGAUUCUUUUGGUGUAAUCGUCAUCAGAAAUAAUUGUUUGUAUUGAUAAUAAAUUUUUUCGUUUCUUAAUUAUAAAUCUAAUUCCAUAAACUGUCUAAAUUUUUUCGUAUUGAUAAAAAACAACAGUUGUAAUUCCAUAAACCGAUGAAGAAAUUAGAGAGGCAAUCUUGUAGAUAUGGAGAUCAUAAUUUUGCGAUGAUAAAUGGUGAACAAGCAUUCAAUACACAAUCAUCAUAUCAAUAAUAAUUUUGAAUCCUGUAUGAUGAUUUAUGUGUAUUUUUUACGUAUCUAUAAUAUUUACAAUUAAUUCUUUUCACUCAAAUAUUACGUGCAGACAGGAGUAGCCAUGGCGGAAGAGGAGCUCGACGUCAGGCUUCUCGUGGACAAGAAGCACGAACGCGUCGUGCUGGCCGAGUCAAGCAAGGAUUUCGUGGACACACUACUGAGCUUCCUCACGCUGCCCGCCGGCACCGUCGUCCGCCUUCUUGGAAAGCGCGCCUCCCUCGGCUGCAUGGAUCACCUCUACCAGAGCGUCGAGAAGUUGGACACGGAGCACCUGCAGACCCGAGCCUGCAAAGCCAUGCUGCUCUCCCCCGUGAGCGCGUCCCACCGACGUUGCGAGAACCUAAAGCUCAGAGCCGACGACAAGUGGCCGCAAAAGUUCUUCUCGUGCCCCAAGUGCGGAUUCCCCCCCAAGGGCUCUGGGAUGUUCAGCCUCGUUCCGGACACGUUGUGCGCCUGCGGACGGAUCAUGGUGCAGCAACGAGACGUACACUUGGGCAAGAAGCAUUCCGGAGCCAAUGGCGUCGAUGGAGUUUUCGUGAAAGGAGGCGCCAUGUUCUUAGUUACUGAUGACCUGCGUGUGGCGGAGAGCUCCGUGGAGAAUGCUUUAGCGGUGUUCCGAAGGUAUGGCAUCCAAGAUGGCAACGGCCUGGAGGAGAGGUUCGUGAAGAUUGGGAGAAGCCGGGUGAGUACUCCUUGUCUCCACACAGUAAAAGUUACGUAAACCUUUCACUCUGCUGAAUCAAUCUGCUUCCAUGGCACGAUAGAUUCUGAAGCUGCUGGAGAGAUCACUCGUAUCCAGGACUCCCUUGACCGAUGUUUUCCUGGAGACGAGCAGCACGAGUGAUUUCGAAGAUGUGAUCGAUCUGACAUACAUAUCUGAAGGAGGUCGCCCCUGCAGAAAUGACAUGGCCUCCGAGUCCAAGGAGAUGGUCGUGAGGCUUCUCCGAGACAAAUCCAACGACGACGUGAUCUACGCGGAAGGAGGGGAAGAUUUCGUGGACCUACUCUUCAGCUUUCUCACCCUUCCUUUAGGGUCCUUGGUAAGGCUCUCCGGCGGAAGCUCCUCCAUCGGAAGCGUCGAUAACCUGUAUCGAAGCGUGGAGCAGCUGGGCGACUACAUCAGGUCGGAGAAUUGCAAGCUGGAGCUCAUAGCUCCGAAGCUGGCCUCCAGUUUCAGCUGCGAUGUACUUGUGUCGCUCUUGGGGUUGGAGGAAGAUAACUCGUGCAUCAGCAGCGAUGUCACGGGGGUCGAAGCUAAGGUGUUUGCGGUUAAUCCCAAGUCCCUGCUUCCAAGCAAAGAACUCGGAGGAGCAUACAUGAAAGGACCAAGAAAGUUUCUGAUCACAGACACUAUGGAUGUGUCGCCAUUCAACAGCCGGGAGGCGUUGGACCUCGUCUUCUCCAAGGAUGUAUACUUCGAAAACCUGAGGGAGGAGACGGUCACACUGGGUGAAGCAGAGGUAGUAGUUAGUGAUCUCUUGCCCUUCUAAUUCAAAUAGACUUGUUGAAUGUUCUUUCGGUGUUGCAGGCUUUGAAGCUUCUGAAAGCAUGUUGGGUCUCUAGCAGGACUCUGACCGAUGCCUUCGCCAAAUUCUUCUGAAGCUACGCGAUACACGGCAAGAAAUCUAGAUUGCCUCUCUAUCUCAUGCUCCUCGUUUAGAUUCUGUUAGUCUUCUCGUAGUGUCUUUGCGACAAUUUUUAGAAUCCAACUACGAUUGUUCGAUCGGUUGUGUUAUUGAAACAAUGAUAAUAAUACUCGAUUAUAUCUAUGAAAUUUAUGUGAGAGAAUAAAGAAUCACCGGACACAUUUGUGAUGUAUCUGCUACUUCUUAUAAGUAGAUUUAGGAUGGACUUGGUGACACCAGUCAAAAUAUGUGAAUGAGAUCCGAAUGUAUCUACUUCAAGCAGAUUCGAUUCCUUUGAAUGAGCUCUUAAUAUAAUGUUUAAUGUAAUAAAAAGUUUUUUUUUUUUAAGAGGACCAAAACAGAUUACUUGAAAACCUCUAAAUGAACAUCAAGAACAAGAUUGAUUAUAUAUAUAUAUGAUAAGAUAUUUUUAUAUGAAGGAUAAAAGCAAGGAGGUGUUUUUAUAUGAUAAGAUAUUUAACGGUGACCGCGGCAUCAUCGAUCAUAGUUUCGAUGGACCAGCUGGGCCCCGAUCCCGCGCUCGGCGGCUGCGCGGAUGUCCGGCUCGGCCAGCUGCGAGCGGCACAGGAGGCACGACAGGUUCAGCUGGUGGUGGAGCCAGUCGUCAAGGCACUCCCUGUGGAAGACGUGGCUGCAGGGAAGCCGCCGGACGCGGUCUCCGUCGGCGAGGCCGCAGAGGCACACCGCGCACGCCGGCCGCCGGCCCACCCCCCGCUCCUCCGGGUAGUAGAAGGGGAAGGCCCGAUUGGAGAGGAGGUGGUCCGCCAGGACGACGAGGCCAGAACCGACGGACGGCUCGGGGUCGGCAGCGGAUGCGGACAUGGGAGGAGGCGAAGAAGAACCGACCGGAGAUGGACGAGGGAAGCGGCGGCGGCGGCUAGGAUGAGGAGGGGGAGAGAAUCACCGGAAACGCCGUGGAGAUGAUUGGAGAGACCCAUCGCGAGAGGGAGAUGAUGGUCGAGUGCAAGAGUGAGCACUAUAUAUGCAUAUAUCGGGCGGCUGGUAGAGUCGGAAAAAGGCGAAGAUGACUUGGCCUGUGUCUUCCCCAGAGAAAGCAUCUACCAAACGGGGGAAUGUUGAGUGGCUCGCCUUCCUUCUUCUUCUUCUUCUUCAGUCUUCCAACUUAAUUAUUCUGCCUCAUAUAUUGUGCCGUGCUCUUCUCCACCACCACCACCACCAUUUUAAUUAAGGAGUGAGAACAUGGGGGCACAUGUCGUAUGUAGCACAAGUUCCCCAUACUAAACGCCAAUCUGGGAAGGAAGUAAUAGCAACUUUUGUCGAAAGCUGGAUGGACGGAAUGUCACAUUAACUCCAUCAAGUGGGGGGAGGGGGGGACUGCAGGAACAGCUUGCAUGAGCUGAGACGCGAUGCAGUGUGCGGUGGAUCGAUCGGAAGCACUCAGGUGGUCAGUCUGGUUGGGGCCUCCGGCCAUCGGACAAUCCUUGUUUUGUCCGGAAUCUUGGAGUCAAGUUCAGUGCUAACUCAAGUCCUGUGCUGAGCUUGGAAAAUGCCCCUUUUACUCCCUCCCUCUAAUUAGUGGCCUUCCCCACGUCAAUGGUAUCUGACACCGACGAAUGCUUUUCCCUUUUGUUUUUUUGGCACGUAAUAUUUCAUAACAAAUAUGAAAUUGUGGUUAUCAUACAUAAUAAUAUAACUAACUAUUCAUCGAUUAUUUGUUUGCGAUCCACAAUAGUCGUCGUCGGACAUCAACGAUGAUGAUGAUGAAUUCAGUAGGUUGAUUCAUGAAAGCAUUUUAUUGUAGUCGACCUCAUUCACUGACUGGACCAUUCGAUGGUCGCGUCAGCGUUGACCCCACUUCGCAGCUGGAUGCCUGCCUACCUACCACCUAAAUAAUCUUUCCAUCUCCUUCAUCGUAAUAUAAUUUAUCAUUUUAUCAGUAUAAUUUAAUCCAAAAGAGUGACGGAAAAGAAAUCCAACGAUGCCUCUGCCAUGCUACUGCCGCUGGUGAUGAUGAUGAUGCCGAUGAUGGAGGAGAUGUCGAGCUUUAAGCAGAAGUGGCUUAAACCUCUCCAUGUCCAGCUUCACAUCCUGGUGAUCCAAGUACACGUCCGCCAUCUUCUUCCAUCCUAGCCUGUGGAUGGACUUGGGGUCUCUGAACACCGGGUGGUCUCUCGGGUACUGCUCUGUCAGACUGCUCUCCUCCACGCCGAUGCAGUAUUCCAGGUAGUGCAGCUGCGCAUCCUCGGUGGAGUCCUUGAAGCAGGACCGCGAGAUGUUCUGCAGGUUGCCGUAGGGGACGAUCUGGAUGAUGACGGCGUUGGUGGGCAGGAAGACGAAGUUGGUGAGCCCGGCGCCGUGCACGCCCACCAUCACGUCGCAGGAGUUCACCACCCUGGUGAAGCUGGCCACAUUAGUCCGCGUUCCUGCCUCCGCCACCACCACCUCGUAGUCCAGCUUCUCGGCCGCCCGCACGAUCUCCUCGAAGUUGACGAAUCUCCGUGUCCCGUUCCUCGAUAUCAGCAGCAGCCUCGGCUUCGCGGUCGGGCUCUCCCCCAGCCUGAUCGGGGAGUCCCUCUCCAGCGAGUAGGCGGACCUCAUGAGCUUGGUGAAGUCCACCAUGGAGUACCCGUUGGGAGCUCUCGCGGGGUCGAUGGACAUGGGCUUGUGGCUGUGCAGACCGACCACAACGUGCCGGAAGCAACGGACCUGAUCGUCGUCGUCCAAGAAGAUGAUCUCGUGGCGCGACAGCUGCCUCAGGACCGGUUUGUACUUCCCGAUCCACCAGAACUUUUGCGUCGCGAUGAGGAACUGCACUUCUCCGUCGAACUGUCGCGACGUUAUGAACAGGGGAAUCAGCACGUCGGUGAAGUCAUGGUAGUAGUUCCCGGAGUAGCCGCCGAUGGCGAAGACGAUGGCGGCGACGCUGUGAUUGACGGUGCAGCGAGGGACGUCGCCGAUGCUAGUCGACGAUCUCACUGAAACCUCGCCGAUGUGCUCCAUCGCAGCCUUGUCAAACUUGCGUGCGUAAGGCUUGAUCCGCCACGAUGGCUGCACGCCGGGAUCCUGGGAUUGGUGAUCGGUCACCAGAACUACAGAGGAAGAUUUCCCAUGAACUCGAACGUCGCCGUCCAUUUCGCAGACGUCGGUUCUAUAAUUCGAGAGAUCGCAGACUGGCUUCUCUCGGGCUUUCAUACCCUUCAUCGUUCCAUCUACAGCAAACACGCCGGUGCUCCGAACAAAAAGCUUACAGAAACGGACUCAUGGACACAGAACUCUGUGGAUUUAGCGAACAUGAAUGAGUUGAUGAUUACCUGGCGGUUUAGAUUCAAUUAUUUCUACUUUUGGACUUGACAACUUUGUGGUGGAUGAACUGUGGCGUUGGACCCUCUCGUCGGCAUCUUUUCCUCGAUCUCUCUCCGCCCCUUUUCCAUGCUCUGCAGAGCAGAAGGAAAAGAAAGUCAGAUCACGUUAGUUUCAAGUCCUGAACACGGCCGGCGUUUUUUCGUGACUUCUCACGGGUGGCAAAAUAGGAGACUCACCCAACCGCAGAGUGUUCUGCUGAAUCAGUCCCGUAGAAGCAGCAUUGUUUAACAUGGGUGAUGGUGAGUUCUGCUUGCUUCUGACGACCACGCUACUGUUUGGGCUAAUUCCUGCGUCUUCUCAGCGAUGACUCGGAGACAUUAGCAACGGAAGCGCAGUGAUGAAGCAAGACAGCCUACCAUUACAACGUAGCGAGACCUUCUCUUUACCUGAUAUCUGUGGAUCACGACUAAUUUCUUCUGCAGGAUGAACCCAAACUCCGUAGAACAGGGAUAACUGCUGUUCGACUGCAAAACAAUCAGAAGAAGAUUUGAGAAGGAAAAGACCUCAAACAAUUUGCCGACACAUGAUGACAUUCGACGUACACAGAGAUGAAGGAAAGGCAAGAGUGAGGACUCACUUGUGGAUACUGACAUGACGACGACACAGGUCAAUACUCCGACGCAGAAUCCUAGAAGCAAAGGCAACCCGAGCUUCCUCGCCUCCAUCUGCCCCAGUUUCUUCGCCAAGAUCUUAUGAUACCCCAUCUUCCGUAUCGCCUGCGGCGGACGUUCUACCUGGAAAUCACCCUGCUGCUCAUGGAUCGAAGUAUGAUGAACUAACGAUUGAGCUCGCUCGCUCGCUCUCUCUCUCUCUUUAUCGCUUCAAGGAAGACUUGAAAUGCUAUUGGACAGAGGAACUGAUAAGAGAUGAUUGGACACGGAACGACUUUUACCUCGUGACAACUAUUCUGAUCUCGUUCUCAAACGAUCAGAUUGGAGAUGUAGUCAUUCAUGGGGACAACCAGAAAAGGACAGGCUAUAGUACUCCUGUAGGAUGAAUUGGCCUCCAGCUCGAAGUUUCUCCUCCUCACUGAAGAGCAUGGGCGUGCAGAUCUGCUGGAUCUGAGCAUAUUUAUUAGAUGACUCGUGUUUGUGUGAUUUCUGGCGGUGACUUGCAGUAAUCGAGGGUUAUAAUCUCCGGCAAGUCACCAAGUAAAAACAACGUAGCAGCAGGAUGUUCCGACUCCCCCACUCACUGCUUCCGUUCUUGGGGAAUGUGAACUGCUGGCACCAUGAUGUCGACUUGGAUUAUCUCUGGAUGCCGUAAUGGAGUUCAAUGCAGUGAUCACACUUUCAUCCCCACCAAUUGUGUGAGCGAACACAUUUGACUUCCAGAAAAGCAGAUUCGUUAAAACGUGAGUAGUGCGCUUGUUUUGUUCUCAUAAAGAGAGGCAGUACCUCGUGCGAAGACAGGAACAAAGAGUAGGGUCAAUCUUCUGCUCGAAAUGGGCGAAGAAGGGAAUGAUCGAGUGGAUUACCAACAAAAUGUUAAACCGAGUUUUGCAGCUCAAUCUUUGACGGAAACCAUGAGUAACUUUUCUAAGCUUCAAUGCAUGGGAAACGCACCCCUCGCUCCUGUCAUGAUCGAGCGCCCCACAGGCCACUGUACGUCAUUCUGCCGUGCCUGGAAUCAUCAUAAGUAGGCUUCGUUGGGACGUCGUUUUCCCUAAUCUUUUACUGCUCAGAUCUAAUCCAUUACCUUGAAACUUCGAAGCAUAAAAGACAAAAAACAAAAGAUUUACCAUGGAAGAAGGGUCUGUCUCGGGAAUCCUCCACCCUUCUUCUUGGUUUGUGUCCGUGCUUUGCCUGAACAAACAGCAAUGAAGAACACGUUUCGGAGGACCAAAGGCAACCGCACGACUUGAUUCAGUGGCAAGAGACGAGUCCUCCAGCUUGCUCUUACAGGUCACACAUGGGCUGCCCCCGCCAAGAAAACGGAAGCUUCACCAAUAACAUAUGCUACAUGUCUAAAUCAGAAAUAAAAGAGCUCACAUGUUGAGGUCGUCCACCAGUCCUGGAAGAAGAAUUUAUUGGCAUGCCUCCACGGAACAAAACAAGAGUAUACUCGAGGCACUCAUGGCAGAUGGGAAAAGCAGGUAACGGUGGUCACGACACAGAUGAUGCAUGCAUCCUUGGAGGAGGAGUUGGAGGAGGAGGAGGAGAGAGCUCUCUACUGAGCUAACCAAGAAGAACCACUGACGCCCAGCCUGUGCAGUCGAGCUGAGUGAAGCUGCCGCCAACUUUACGGUCCGGUCUUGGCACUGUGCUGAGCGGGUCCAAGCCUAGGUUCAUGGGCCCGAACCAAAUCAUUCCCGGUUCAGCUAUCCCUGUGCUUGCGCAGCCGGGUCAAACAGGCCAGACCGGUGGUAAGGUGAAUCCUUGCUGGCGGAGAUAGGUCAGAUGUGUCGUCGUCACCGUCGGUGGGGUGAGAUAUUAACCACUCUCCCAACUGUUUCGGUGAGAUAUAUUUAUUAGCCAAUGGUGUCGUCGUCACCACCAUUGGAGUUUAAUGUGAUUCCUCUCUAUCGGUUGUUGAAAGAGUUAAAUCAUCUCAAAACAUCACAAAUUCUAUUUGUCAAUCAUGAUGCAUAUGUGAUGUUACACAUAUAAAUAUAAUCUAUUAGACAAUUUAGAUUAUAUAUUUUUAACGCUCUUUAAUGCAUUACUUGUUGUUCUUAAUAAUCUACAUAUUACCAUGUUUUGUAUCAUCCGUUUUGAUAUUUCUUUUUUUUAUUAUUGUUGAAAGUUGUUCUAAAUUUUUUUUUAGGAACACACGAUUUUAUAUAUGUAUAUAUACUCACAAUAAGUAACAAAAAAUAGAUGUAUUAUUUAAAAAAUGAAUAACUUAAAGUGGAUGUUCAUAUCGAUUCUUACAGAACCUAUGAAACCAUAUAAUCAACUCAUGGAGAAGUAGUAGCAGAUGUGUUGAAUUUGAAACAUGAUUUGUAGGUACCUUCUGGGAAAUAAUUAUAGCAGUGAUAACAAUCCAGUUUCUCUAAUUACUAGAUUAUUAUCACUGCUCUAAUUAUUUUCUGGUUGCUUCCAGUUGGGCAUUUUAAGUUCCAAGAAUGCUGCAAACUCAACACAUUGCCUACUAUUUCUUCCUGUGUUCAACACCUAUGGGAUCAUAGGUUUUGCCAAAAAUGGAUAUUCAAAUAAUACAAUGUGAAUUAUGGAUAGUUUUUAAUAAAUACAAAAAUAUUACAAGAAGUAAGCAUAUAAAUCUUACAUGGGAAAUUUGUCAAGGAAACUAAAGUAGUUUGCAUUUCAAUCAUGACAUCCACACAGAUUAAUUUGUUUCAUGCACCUUCAGAUUCUGCAAGGGUGAAAAAAAAAUCAUUAUUUAUGCUCAUAAAUAAAUAUCCAUCAACAUAAACAUGAGUUUUUUUCCUUUUACACCAUGGCAUACAACAUAAGUAUGUCAAACAUGUCAAUUGGAAUCUCCUUUUACAUCAUGGCAUCCAUUUCAGUACUUGUGGUGCAACCACUUCUCCCUUCGUUCAUGGCAAUUGUGAAGUGAGUGGCUUUGGAUAGAGUGAUCCAACUAUGGUCAAUAUUUUCAAGCAUUUUGAGAGCAAAUAUACUAUUACCACAUUAUGUACAGAGCAGCAGGCUGCAUACCCACGCCGGCAGAAGCAUCAAUUUUGGUUCAUCUCCGCUUUUCCUUCGCUCAUCUUCCAUUAUUUCACCUUUUUUUGUGUCACCAAGCGAGACGGUGGAAUUAUUCUUCGCCCUUUUAGUCUUCACCUCUAUGCAAGUCAGUGCACUUGAAUGCGAUGUGGUUGAGAUUGCACCAGCUGCCAGGAACUAAGCUCGUGCGUUCCUUCAGCUCGAUCAGAUACUUCCCGAGUUCCCUGCAUCGACUUUUUUCCCAAAAUAAUCAGAGAAGAACAGACAUUGUCUUGCAUUUCUUGAGCCACUGAGGAAAACAUACCUGUUGGCGCUGGCACUGAUGAAAUGUCCUAAUUGUUCUGAUCAAAACAAAGACCGGUACAAGUAUUCCAGCAGUCCUCAACACCAGUAGCUUUAUUUCCAUAUAUGUAUACAUAAACAAGUACAUCACGCAGAGCUUCAGAAGCUAACAACUAGGCAGCUACAUUGAAAGAACAUUAUCGUAAACUUCUUAGUUUAGAGUUUUACUGAGAAUAUGGUGAAUGAGUACUGCUCAGCACCACUGAUGGCGAGAGGAAGAGUGUGGCGAAGAACCAAAAGAACCAUGAACUGGAUAGAAACAAAAGUGUGUAACACAUUCUAUCAAAUUACAUGAAGCAUGAGAAGACAAAAUUGUGACUCAGAAGUUCCUCUACAGAAGUGCUUCUUGAAUAGAAAGGAACUCACUAUUAUGGCUACUGACUGGCAGCAAACUGUGGUUCUCAUGCCUAAAGCUGAAUAAUCAUCAUCAUGAGGAUGCAUAACAUCACGUUCUGAUGGAUACAACGUUAAGAUUUGAGAAUCAUUCAGGUCCUGUCUGGUAAUCUCCCAAUUUCCUCUGAGAAGCAUUUUAACACUAUCAGCAAUUCAAAUUGAAAAUGUUGAAACUCUAAAUUGCCCAAUAUCCCUAGAAACAGUACCCAAACACAGAAUGUACUUAGGAAGGGAGGCUCAGUGUAUGAAGCUCUCAUCAAUGCAAAUUAGGAAAGGAAUAUGCAACAUUCUCCCUAUAGAAAGGAAGGCUAUUCCUCAACUUGAAGUCUAAUCAACGAGGAAGCAAAGAAACGGUGACACAGAGGGUACAGUGAAAAGGAUACCUGAAGUUCAUCGGGAUACUCCCAUACUGAAACAACUUUUGGGGAGCAGUAUAACCUGGCUUGAAUUGCUGAAUAUGAGUGAUAAGAAUUAGAAUCUACAGAGGCAAUAUUAAAAGAAAAGAAACUAUCACAAUGCAGAUGCUACAUCAAAAUACAUUUGUAGAUGAAACAAUCAGCAUGUGAUCUGGCAAACAUGACCACUUAAUGAGUGAGCCUCAAUUGCGUGUUGGACAAGCUUUCACCAUGGUGGUUAUGGGAUGUUGAGGUCAAGAGAAUUAUCGGGCCAGAAAAAGAAUCACCUGCAAGCAAAUCUCGCAAACUGUGUCACCCUUUUCGUUACACCAUCUUUGAACACAUUCACGGUGAGCAUACUGAAAGUAAAGGAAAAGAUCCAGUUAACUGUUAUUAUUUAUGUAAAUUAUGUUACAGAAUCCAGCACAAAGUAUGAGAAGAAAAUAUACGGCAAGAAGUAAAUAAGUAAGUGAACUGAUUACUUCUGGAGCACAAAGACUAACGUACUUGUACCGCACAAUUUACUAGUAAAGUUGAACUGAGAUCAUAGACAAAAAUUAGGAGACAAGGCUUAAACUGCAUAAUACAGAAAAUUAGCACUAAGAUAGGACAAGACCAUUUCCUCAAAAAAAAAAAAAGAAAGGGACACACCAUCUUCCAUCGUUAGUGCAAUUUCCAUCACUAGGUUAAGAGAUACCAGAUAUAUCCAAACUUCAAAUAUUAGAAGUCUUAAAGACUGAAGCAACACUGGAUGAAAUGAAAAGGUCAAAACACAAUGGAGGACAUAUCUGAGGGAGGUGGAGAAAAGCAUUGUGCAAUCAUCUCUGCCAAACAGAUACAGAACUAAAAUUAUGCACCGUCAAUGAUGGAUACUGACCAUUCUACGGAUUCCUAAUUAAUUGCAAUUUCGUUAACUUACAAAAUGUAUUCCAUAAGGUUACGCCUGAAUUGGAUUAGCAAAGGAUGUUGUAAUGAUUUAAGUAUGAACUGAUUCUGGUUGGUUCUCAGAUUCUUCACCUUGCAAUUGAACAUUUUCAUAGCUUUAUAGUGAAUCAACUCAAAGCAAAUCUGUGUAUAUUUUGAUGACAUAAUAGGAUAAUCUAGAAAGUGCCCAAAAAUCUCUCUCGCCGGCUAACAGUUUGAAGUUUUGCAAUGGUUCCUCCAAUCACUAAAUACUUCGUAGUUAAUCAGUAAGACCAAACUAAACGAAUCACCUCACUACUAACAUGUCAGAGAUGCUGGCAUAGAAUACACACAAAUCAAAUCUUUAGGCCAUUAAAGUACUAGUUUCUUUCAUACGUCUAAUGAAUCAUAGUUAUGAGCUACAGUUAGUUUGUAGGCUAGAACUGAUCGACCAGUUUACUUAACUGCUUGACUCAAGGUACACAAGUUUCCUUCUUUAUAUAAGGAUGGCAAAAUCAUAGGAAUUUAGGUCAGAAACCAAGUUACUGAUUUAAGAUGUAAACACCAAGUUAAUGGAAACAGAUAAAUGCACAAUUUUCAUGUCCCCGCACAAGUAAAAUCCCCAAAAACAAGGCAUCAUCAUCAACAAAAAUAAAACCCAAAGUGAUAAACAAUAUAAAGGAAAUUGGAAAGGAAAAAAAAGAAAAAGAGAGAGAAAGAGAGAGAGCUUCCUUUACCUUCAAGCUGCCACAACAUGAACAAGGGAUCUCCAUGUUGUAAUCUUCUUCCUCUUCUUGACAAAUUCGGCAUUCAACUAACUUUCCAACACAGCUCCUGUCUCUGAUGUUUCUCUUCCUAGUAAACUCUUUGCCUGGAUCUUCCAAAGGCGCUGAAUCGGUGGCAAUCUGGUCGUGCUUCUGACCUCCAAUAGCCGCCUCGAGCGUUGACUCAGUAAGGAGAUGGUCCACUAAUAAAGCAAGAUGGUCUCCCAUUCUUCUGGAACUUCAAGAAAAGACGAAAUUAAAUUAAGAAGCCAACUUGAUGUGUCUUCAGAACCCAAGGAAAGAUCAUGAGAAUUAUGAAAAGAAUUGGGCGCAACCAACCAGCCCCAUAAUGACGAAAUAAGAUACCUUUACAAUGUAAAACAGCUUUCUAUUAGUAUCGUUAAAAUAAGAUCAAGAACACUAUGAACAUCUACAAAUACUCAGAAAAAGAGACCAAGCCAAACAGAUUGCAGUAGAGAAGCACAACAAAGAUGUCUUCCUUAUCGAACCACACAGAGAGAAAUUGAGAAGGAAAAUACCAAUCAAAAUCCAGUCGACCAUGAGCAGGGCAGCAACCAAAACGUCGCCAAAAUUUCAAAUUUUUCGAAAAAGGAGGGAGCUUUCACCGUAACAAAGCACCAAAUGACCACAACAACGAAAAAGAAGAGAGAAGAAGGGUAACAUAUCCAUAAAUCUGAAGAAGGCAUGAGAAGAGGAGGGAUGAAUCAAACUGAAGGAAAUCCGAUAAAGGAAGCACGACCCACCAGAGACAGAGGAAUCCAAAAACCAAGAAGAAAAGGAUUAGACCAACGAGACAGGCGGCAGCUUUCUUACGGACUCCGAAACCUCCUCUCUCCUUUCCCAAUCUGAAGAGACAAAGAACGCGAGUAAAACCCAAAGGCAUGGCGAGCAGAAAACCGAGGAGUGGAAGGAGGAGAGGAGGAGGAGGAGACUUACAAGGUUGGACUUGGAUGUGUUGAAGCGAAGGAAGGGACGAGGAGCAGAUCAGGGGAGCUGAGGACGAAGCAAGAGAGAGAGGUAGUGGUGUGGUGUGGUGUUUCUUACCAGAGAACCCAUAGCAAGAGAAGCGAGUCCUGCAACUUAAAUACACCUGAGAAUCCAUUUCCCAUUCUACCCCUCUCCUGUAUUUUUUGUGGACAUCCAUAUCCAUCCUUUUGCAUUUCUUUCUCAUCCAUCUCUCUAAUUAUUUUUCUUUACAAAAUUUCACAUUUGCCUUACAAAGUUGUGAGUAUAUAUGUAUGUAUGCAUGGAUUUAUACUUAUGCUUACAUUAGUGUUUUUUCUGUUGUUCGUAAUUAAUACUCAAAUAAUUAUGCAUUAGACACGUCAUUCUCAUUCGAACGAAAUAUCAUUCUCAUUCGAUAAAUACCCUAAUCUCAUUCAACAUGUGGGUUUCAAAGUUAAUGAAAUAACACUAACUUGAUUCUAUUAUAUUAAUCAUAUAGUACUUGUAUUUUUAGGAUGAUUUUUUUUUCAUGACCUAUUGAUAAUUAAAUAAUGUGUAUAACUGUUCCUCACAUUUAUUAUGAUCUCAAUCAAACGAUCUAUCGUACUAUAAAUAAUUAUCUUAAGUAUAAUCUUAAUAAUAAAUCUUUUCUAACUAAAUAUAUCUAAUUGAAUCAUUCGAAGUCCAUAUUAAUUCAAACAGAAUCAAAUUCCAUGAUUUUUAAAAUUUAUAAAUUAUUAUUAUUAUUAUUAAUUUUUUCAUAUAUAUAUAUAUAUAUAUAUUCAAAAAUUCAUCAAUUUUUUAUCCCUCGGUGCAUUAACUAUAUAACAUUCACAUGAUACAUGGGAUGGCAGUCGUAAUUUACAUCACUUCUACUCUCCUUUUACCUUUCAUUUUCGAUGACUCGCCCUCUUUAUCGCCAUUAUUUUUCCUUUCCCAUAUCAAUUUCUUCUCCCCCCAAAUAUUUCUCUCUCUCUCUCUCUCUCUCUCUCUCUCUCUCUCUCUNNNNNNNNNNNNNNNNNNNNNNNNNNNNNNNNNNNNNNNNNNNNNNNNNNNNNNNNNNNNNNNNNNNNNNNNNNNNNNNNNNNNNNNNNNNNNNNNNNNNNNNNNNNNNNNNNNNNNNNNNNNNNNNNNNNNNNNNNNNNNNNNNNNNNNNNNNNNNNNNNNNNNNNNNNNNNNNNNNNNNNNNNNNNNNNNNNNNNNNNNNNNNNNNNNNNNNNNNNNNNNNNNNNNNNNNNNNNNNNNNNNNNNNNNNNNNNNNNNNNNNNNNNNNNNNNNNNNNNNNNNNNNNNNNNNNNNNNNNNNNNNNNNNNNNNNNNNNNNNNNNNNNNNNNNNNNNNNNNNNNNNNNNNNNNNNNNNNNNNNNNNNNNNNNNNNNNNNNNNNNNNNNNNNNNNNNNNNNNNNNNNNNNNNNNNNNNNNNNNNNNNNNNNNNNNNNNNNNNNNNNNNNNNNNNNNNNNNNNNNNNNNNNNNNNNNNNNNNNNNNNNNNNNNNNNNNNNNNNNNNNNNNNNNNNNNNNNNNNNNNNNNNNNNNNNNNNNNNNNNNNNNNNNNNNNNNNNNNNNNNNNNNNNNNNNNNNNNNNNNNNNNNNNNNNNNNNNNNNNNNNNNNNNNNNNNNNNNNNNNNNNNNNNNNNNNNNNNNNNNNNNNNNNNNNNNNNNNNNNNNNNNNNNNNNNNNNNNNNNNNNNNNNNNNNNNNNNNNNNNNNNNNNNNNNNNNNNNNNNNNNNNNNNNNNNNNNNNNNNNNNNNNNNNNNNNNNNNNNNNNNNNNNNNNNNNNNNNNNNNNNNNNNNNNNNNNNNNNNNNNNNNNNNNNNNNNNNNNNNNNNNNNNNNNNNNNNNNNNNNNNNNNNNNNNNNNNNNNNNNNNNNNNNNNNNNNNNNNNNNNNNNNNNNNNNNNNNNNNNNNNNNNNNNNNNNNNNNNNNNNNNNNNNNNNNNNNNNNNNNNNNNNNNNNNNNNNNNNNNNNNNNNNNNNNNNNNNNNNNNNNNNNNNNNNNNNNNNNNNNNNNNNNNNNNNNNNNNNNNNNNNNNNNNNNNNNNNNNNNNGAGAGAGAGAGAGAGAGAGAGAGAGAGAGAGAGAGAGAGAGAGAAAGCCUUGGAAUGAUGGUUGCGAAUCAGUGGUCUUCGGUUUCAGAGGGAUUAGGUGGAAGAGAAAAUGAAUCACUGGUAGUUCAUCUACCCGGACCACUCGAUGAGCUCCUUCAACUGGGUGUGGGUCAGCGUGUGCCGGUGGGAGAACGACGGAGUCGAGAUUUGGAUCCACACCCAACCCAUCAUGUCAAGAUUGUCAACUUAGCUUCCCAAGGAAUUGACCGCAAUAUGAAUUAAGUUGCCGAACACAAUGAUUCCAUCAGCGUCAUCAACUGUUUUCGACCCGAUUCCCAUCUUUCUUAGACCUCAAGGAUGAAAUCUCUCACGAUAUGAUGGAAAUGGAGAUCCACGCCAUUGGGAAACUGCUUUCGAUCUCCAUCUCACGACACCGUAAGCGGGAAGCAAAGGUUCGAUAGCAAGCAGAAUUCGAGUGCGUUCUGAGUUCCACAUGCGUCUGCUAACUUGGGGUGUCAUCUUAUAUCAGGUUCUGCACCAAAGAAAUCUUCCAAGAGAUCGGCUGUCGGACAUAUUUGGUCGACGUCUCUGGGAUUUUUGGUGGCACUUGAAUACACCUGAAAACAAACGCAAGCAAAAGAGUUUGCAUGGUUUUUAAGUAAAAUUAUAAACACAAAAAAGUUAUAAUUGCAUUAUUAUACGAAAAAUUUUAAUACUAGAAACUAAAAUCAAAUAAUGAUAAACCAAUGCGCCUGCCUGCAUGGAGUAGAAUUUUCAUGAAGAAAUCCAAUGGCUGCCAUUUUAACAUCUCAUAUGUUGUAAACAACAGAGAAUUCUGAUUUGCAAACUUACAUAGAACAGGUACCAUGCUCGCCACACAGAAUCAAGAGCAUAGAAUAGCACAUGCUGGCCACCAAAUCCUAGUUUUAAGUUGAAAGAUAAAAAAAGGACUUUAAUUCUCAAAACAGGGCUGGUCAACUAUCUUAUUUUAAUUUUCGAUCAAGGUAAUAGAUAAGAAUUCAACGUAAAACACAUCUAAGGGACAUUCUAAAAGUAGAAUCUUGUACGUACCGCCGAUGCAUUAGCAUAUCACACUUCCUCAGAUAAGGAACUGCGGAGCAUACUGGUUGUUCAAGUAAGAUGGCGGCACGGCAUCUAAAUUUGCAACGGAAGAUAUUUCCAUGCUGGCUGCAUUCACAAGAUGGAAGAUUAUUUCUUUGCUUCGACACGGUGUGUGAUUCGUCAUCCGCUCAUCGACACAUGAAAGAACAUUGCCAAGAAUUGUCUCCUCAGGAAAAUAGUGUAGUUAUUCAUCCAUUAUAAGGCAUUUGUGGUCGUCCUUCAAAUACCAAAGAAAAUGACCAAAAUUUGAGGGCUGAGUUUAAGAAAAAGUUACAGAUAGAUAUAUUGGACAAAAGAAAAAGGGUACAAAAUGGAUUCUUACCUGUUAAGCACCGUAUGAAUUCAACAAAGAACGAAGGUAAAUGCCAUGAGCAGCGGACCACUCGUGAACCUGAAAGAUUGAUUAUACACGAAAAGGUUCUACAUUGUUCCAUUCAGAAGAAAUAUACACUAUAGUUCACGAUUCAUUUCUAUUGAGGAUCUACACUUACAUGCAAGUCAGCAUGUAUGUACCCAAAUAUUGAAAUCAGCAGAAAAGUGGGUGAUGCCAAAGACAAGUCAAGAAUAAAAUGGAAAUUAUGAAGAUUAAGAUAGAACAAGAAGCAGAGAUGCAAUUAACAGUAUUUAUCAUUCUUUACUGGAACUUGAAAACCAUAAAAAGGCAUGAACCAGCUAAAACUAAGAAUUGCCCAUGAAAAAGGAUAAAGCUUUUUUUUUCUUUCCAACUGAACAACUUGAAGGAUGAUACAACUCAAGGAAAAUGAAGGUGAAGUGCCUGUAGAUAUAGAUAAUGAAGCUCAGCCCAGAAUUAGCUCAAAUAGGAAAUAUAUGAUAUAUAUUAGAUAUAGACAAUCAGCAUAUACAAGAAGCAAAGAAGAUAAAAACAAGAAUGUUGGAUGAGUGAAUCUUUUAACUCUCCAUCAAACUGAACAAUAUAAUUAAUAAAGCAAAAGUUAGGUAAUAUAUGUUUGGAAUAAGCCAAGGAUGGCUAUACACAGGUUCAGCUAGUUGACCUAAAGGAACAAAAAUGCGGAAGAGCCCUCCAGCAUGUUUUAAAAGUUGUUUCCGGGAUCGGAAUCAGCAUAGAAAUAACUAGGCACCUUCAAAUCUUUGGCAAAAGUAAUAAUAACAAAAAAAAAAGCCAGAUUUUUAUUGAAGAAAUUUGAGCUAAAGAUAAAAAUCUUAACAAUAUAAUACAUGCUAUGGGCAAAGCUAGCAUCUACAAAGACAAUGAAACAUGAUAAAAAGAGGUUGCCAAUCUCAACAACGGGAUUAGGGCCUCAAUUAUACCAGGUCAUUUGACGCAAAAGUUUGUUUACUUACAAAUUAAAUGCACAUUACUGGUUAAGUGGCACUAGAAGCGAAAAGACUAGUUCCAACUUUAAAUGUGACCAGAACAAUGGUUUAGACUUCAAACGGCCUAUAGAACAUCUAACAUAAUAUCAAUGCCAUGGACAACCAAGAAAACAUGAUUGUGUCAAAGAAUUAGCAAAGCACAUCAUGUUUAACAUUUUGAAUCUUUGAUUUGUCUGUUUAACUAGUGUAAAAAAUAGCAGUCAAGUAAUGUAAUCCUUCCAUGCAAAGAAAUACCAUGCAUCCACUCUAAGGAUCAUGGUAGAUGCUUGUUAGUGGGCCAUUUAGCAUAUACCUUAACAUUAGAUAUGCCACAUAUGAUGAAAAAUGAGAAGUUUCUUGUGAAGGUCAAAGUUUAAUCCGAGUGCGUUGCCAAGCAUUUGGGAAGACCAACAGUAACACAUGACAAACAUGCUGAUUGCAGGAAGAGUCUUCAUCUUUUAUGUUUGCUCACCACCUACAGAAGAGAUCUAUACCCAAAGCCAGCCCAAGGAAAAACUGACCACGAUAGAAAUAAGAGAAAACCAGCAGCUCUUGUUAAACCAACAUGCUACAAGGAAUCUCUGAGGAGGUAUUUAAUGGUUAAGGUGCAAUGUCCACAGUCAAAAGAUUUAAGAGGCCCAUACGUAUGCAUGUCAUGUACUCCUUGAAUGGAAGGAGUAAAAUUUGGAAGAGAAAAACAGACCACAAAAGGACAAGUUAUAACAUAGUAAAGAAAUAUCUAUCCAUACACAUAAAUAUAUGCACAUUUGGUCCAUGUAUCAUGUUCAACAAAAUUAAUCUUUCCACUGGAGCCAUCCAUGAUUAGUUUUGAGAUUAUAGGAUUGAGGUGUCAAUCUUCCUGAUAAGCUUUUUAUCUCAUUGCAAAAGGAAACCUAAAGCUCUCAAAUAUGGAUUUCAUUGUCCUGUGCUUUUAUUUCAAGUACCAUGAUAAAAUUACAAGCUUUAUUAGGCUGAGUUGUGUUAUUACAUUAAUCCGACCAAGCCUAUGAUGUGGCGAUUAUGCUUAUUUGCCCCAAAGAACAGUUUGAGCAUAGUAAAACGUUUGGGGGCAAGAAAGGCAUUAUCUUGCCCAACUUUCUCCACAUCUUUUGAUCUCAGGAACGAAGUUGAUGAAAGAGAAAGAAAAAGAAGGAUCAAAAUGGGUAUGGAAUGCAAGCUUGUGUGGCUUUGUAUGUCAGGGACGAGGCCAAGGGACGAUCCUGUACAGGCUAUGCCUACUACACUAAACAGUGCAGAGGUCAGGUCAGAUCAGGUCGCAGUUGGUUAGCUCCUCUGCUCAACUGUAUAUUUAAUCUUCCACAAGCCAUAUCUACUCACAACACUCUCUCCCUGAAUAAUGGCCUCCUAAGACAGUUAAAAAAGAAGAUACUAUUGUAGUCUAUCGAGGUAAGAAAUAAGUAAAAAGGCAAAAAGAAAAAGAAAAGGGAGAGUAGGUGAAUAUGUGUAUGUAUCAUAGUGCAAGUAGGACAAAAGGAUAAAAGAAAAAAAGUAGGACAAAAGGAGUCUCCUGUGGGAGGUUCCUUCCUGAAAUAUAUAGAGGGAAAGAAGGAGAACGGUGAAGCAGCUUCCCAUGCUGCAGGGUAGUCUUGCAUGCAAAGGCUUCCCAGGGCUGUCUUAGUAGAGGCUUAGCUUCUUAGAGAAAACUUUGGUUCCUGAUUCAUUUUUGAUCUCUCAGACAGCAGGAGGAAUCAGCAGUGGAAAUGGGUAAGGGUGAAGACUUCGAGCUCCUAAAAAUCCAGGUAUUUCUCUUCCUUUCUUUUCUUUGUAUUUAGUUAGAAGAUUAAGUGCAGGAGACUGUUUGUUUGGUUCUUGCAGACCCACAUCCUGAAGGUGAACAUACAUUGUGAUGGAUGCAAGCUUAAAGUAAAGAAACUCCUCCAUAGAACUGAAGGUACUUAAUUCCAGGAUCUUUAGCUCUGUCUUAUUUUCCCUCUCCAGAACAUAUUUUCAUCAUGUUCUGUUUUCUGAAGAUAAUGCUGUUUCGAAAAGACUUUUAUAACUCUGCCACAGUUAUCCAUCUUUGCUAAAAGUUUUGCUUGAGAUGAUCUUUUACUGGAAUGCCAAGUUCCACUUGUUUCAUGCAAGUUCUUCUGCUACUUGAUUAUAGUACCCUUAAAUGCGAAUAUUUGGGGGUUGAUUUCCACAACUCCAGUCCAAGAAUCAGAUGCAGGAUAAAAGGAAAAAAAGAUGCUCAUGAAGUCUCUCUGAUGGAAGGCUUUAGUUUGUGUUUCUGCUACAUCUCUGGUCUACAUGCAGAGUUUUCAAGGUUACAGUAUGAAACUAGAAGCACAAUGCAUGUUCUCUUUUGUUCCUUGUGGAUGUCCAUGAUUUAUCUUGUGGCCACAAGCACAUUGUAAGAAAGACAGCAGAUACAAAGUGUGGCUAGAAACUUGAUGUCUAUUGAGUAAUAAUGUUCAUCAUUUAACUGUGUUUGCAUCUGAUUCAGGAGUCUUCUCAGUAAGCAUAGAUGUAGAACAGCAGAAGGUCACAGUUUCAGGAAAUGUGGACUCUGAAACUCUGAUCAGGAAGCUGAUCAAAGCACGUAAGCAUGCAGAGCUAUGGACUCAAAAGAUCAACCAGACUCAGCAGCUCAACCAGCAAAAGCAGCAGCAGAAGAAAGUAGCCAACCCCAUGAAGGAUGCCAACAAAAACAAUAAAGAACAAGACAAACAAGGCCUCAUGCGAGGCCUCAAAGCCUUCAAAAACCAGCACAACAAGCUUUCCCCAUCCAGCUCUGAUGAGGAAGACUUUGAUGAUGAUGAUGACGAUGACGAUGAGGAUGUAGAUUAUGACGAAGAAGAAGAUGAUGCUGAUAUGCAAAAUCUUGAUAGUAAGAUGAAGCAAACUAAUUUCAUGAGGCAGGCAAACAACGCCCCAACCGACGCAAAGCAAAGUGGGAAUGGCAAUGGAAAAGUUGGUGCAAAUGCCAAAAUUGGAUGCAACAGGAAGGGGGGAGAAAAUGCUAACGAAAACCACAUCAAAAGUCCAAAUGAGUCACAACAAAAAGGCACCAAUGCUGCAGCUAACAACAGGGUGGUCAAUGGCAAUCCUAAAGUUCAGGGCAACAAUGGGGUGAUGGGUCUUGGCCCCCCUGGGCUUGGUGGAACCAAUGGAUGCUUGCCAGGAAAUGCUUUCAAAGGCUACACAGGACACCCACCACAAUGUGGGGGUCAAUACCAGUCUCCAGUGACGGUGAACAUGCAGGGCUACCAGACCCAUCCAUCAUCAUCCAUGGUGAACAAUUUGAGAGGGCACAACAUGGUGGUGCAUGAAAGCAGAUACAUGCAGCCUCAGAUGAUGCAGCUCAGGACCCCUCAGAUCUCCCCCUACGCUGGUUACUACAACUGCUACCCAAGCCCUUACUAUCUCAGUAACCAAGUUGAUAAUGGUUAUUAUGGUACCCAUCUUUUCAGUGAUGAAAACACUAAUGCUUGUAUUAUCAUGUAAAAAGAAGGUAUGUAGGAUAUGGGAUCAAGUGUUGCUGUUAUGGUUUUCUGUAAGUGGUGACUCAGUGGUGCUCCAAACUGUCAGCAUUCUUGGUGUUACCUUUGGCUGGACAUUUUACUGCCCCCUUGUUCAUGUGCUUUCCACUCUCUUUGAUGCUACUGACUGUUGCCUAAAAAGUUGUAAUUACCAAGAGAACAAGAUAAGAAAAUCUUGGUUUGGUAGACUUAGCCAUUCUUCUACCCUAAGGAAUAUCAUGGCAAUAGAAGGAUUUACUACUCAGACAAAUGUGCACUACUCAAUACAACCUGAGAGCAUGAGAAAUGAGAGUAUCCACAAAUAAACUUAAGGUCCACUUCUCUCGAUUGGCGACAAUGAGUGUAGAGUAAGAAACGAUGAAGCCAUAAAGAAAUAACUUCAACGGCACUGAGAACAACCACAUAUGCAACCACAAAAUAUAUAAGACUAGUAUAAACUAUAAAGAUGAUGACUUACCGGCAUUGUUCAGUGUCACAGUCCUCGAUGGACGGAUAAAGAAAGUCCAGAGCUGCAAAUGCAUGAUAAAAAGAAGAUGCCGGUAUGAUCAGGUUUGGUUCCGCAGUUGAUAGAUUUGCUUUCCUUUUCUCCAACAGUCAAAACUUAGUCUCAAAGAUAGAGGUAGUCAGCAGCCUUUCACUGGGAGUCACCAGGGGAAUGAUGCAAAGAGUGGUUACCAAUACCCAUGUGAUACCCACACACCAGUCCUCCCAUCUUGGCUGGUAGAAGACAGAGAGACAGAAACAGAUGAAUAAUGGACAAAAGCUGAGACUAUAUUAGACAGUGUGCAGCAAAAUCAAUGUAAAUGCAACAAGUCUUUGGAUGUUGCUCGUCAGCUUUAGUAGCAUUAGGAGAUUUGUCACUUACUUUUAGUACAAGGACAUGAUGACAGGAAGGGUGAGGGUUUAUAAAAAGUCUAAAGAUACAGGGAUUGGCCGGGGGAUCAAGCAGCACAGCUUCUGCAUUUUUGGCAUGCAGUUUAGAAAACAGAGAGCUUUGUAAUCCUAUCAGCCAACAGAAUAGUUAGUGAGCAGGUCAAAUGUUCAAGAUCAGAGAGAUAUGGACACAUUUGUUGAACCUUGAUCAGAUAUUUUGGUUGGAUUAACUAUUGCAUAACUAAAUUUUAUCUGAAGCACUUGUGUUCCAGAAGGAAUUAGACUAACUAUAUCUUAUGGACCAAAAUAGAGAAAGUAGAAAUAAAGAUCACUAUCUAAUGACAGUCCAUAUUUGCAACAGAUUAAUGUGUUUCAACCAGAAAAUGGUACUGCAAACUCCAAUUGUGUGGCUCUUAUGGAAUUAACUUUAUUAACACAAGAGUUAAUCCAAAUCAAUGGCUGCACCAUGGCCAAGAAAUUUCCUUCUUCCUGAGCUGAAUUGCAGAUAGAUUUUGAAACUACCUAAUCCCAUAUCCAGUUGCUGCAAAUUUACCACAUACCCCUUCUGUAGUAGCUGAAGGGACAAUGCACCCAGCAUCCUCUCCUGUAUCAGUUUCCUAAAGCUAAAAGGUACCCAGUUCCUUCAAUCUCCAAUGAUAUGGACAUGUUUUAAUCACAGAUAGAGAAAGUUGCAUAGUUAUCAUUAGCAGCAAACUCGGAAUCACCUUAUGAUUGAUUCAUCUUCUUGUUCAAUCUACUAACUACCAUGAGAGCACCAUAGUUUGUACUUAUUGAAGAAACUACUCUAGGAUUUAGCAACACAAAUUUUUAGUAUAAAAGAGUUCCCCUGACAUUACAUUUUUUUCUGUAUUAAAUCAAGUUUUAGAAAUAAACAUUUGAAGGACCUGUGCAAAGUUAUCUGGAAUCAGCCAAACCAAAUAAUUAAUUGGUGAUAUUUCCCUCGACGCAGCUUAGUGACAGUAAAACAAAUCAUGUGGCCAGACCCAUAUAAUAGGUUCCAAUAAUUUUCUGUACUUCAAAUCCAACUGCGUCGCACAUUAAUUUGAUAGUUUCUCUGUCAAAGAGUUGUGUAAGAUAGAGAUGCAAAGCUCAUCACAAAGUGAACAUACUGCAAGCUCAGUGUGCAAAGCUCUCCAAGCUGCAUCCUGGAAUAAACUAAGGGAUCCUUUGCUGCUUUUGAAAGCUCCGAAAUGAUCUUAAACUUUGGGGUCUGCUAAAAAUCAAGUAGUUUGUCUACAUACGUAUUACUAUGUUCAUUUGGGUGUGCAUCAAUAGGAACAUCAUCACUCCCACUCUACAAAGUAGCCUUUUCAACACUUUGACAACAUACGCCUCACAAAUCAUUAUUGUUAUCAACAUCAGUAGCUUCUUAGUUUUCCUAUGCCCGCUUCCUUCCUUUGCCAAUGUCCAUCUCCAAAUGGCUAUCAUUAUUCUCAUUAUCUCCUUCAUUGUCCUCACUCGUCCAUAAACAUUCAGCUUCAUCUAUCUUCUUUAAAUUCUUCACCAACAAGUCAUUCACUACCAGGUUCUAACGUGCCCUUAGGAGAAUAGCAUCGUGAUACCGGAAGCCAAGAGAAUAAGACAUACUAAAACCAGGGACAGCAUACAAGUACAUCAAGCUUCAAGCAGUUGCCAAUUUCUUGUGGCUUGGUUUCCAAUAGACAAUGGAAACAGAGAAGACCAAGCAAGAAGAGAUUGAUCGUUCUUGAUCAUCAUUUUGUGGUUAUAUAGAAGUGUUAAACCUGUACUAAAAUCUCAACUUCUAAAUCCUAACCACUGUAGUACAAUUAACUUAUCCGAUGUUGCAAUCUCAGAUACCAAAUAACACACAAUUUGUGUCUUAUACGUUUCUUAUCUAAGAUAUAGCCUAAUCGCGAGAAAAAAAAAGAUACAGCCUAAUCCCAUCGUCCAUAACACGUCACAUAAGCCGAAAAGGCCGAUCUUUUCUCUGCAACGAUCCGACUUCUUUCCUACUGCUAUGGUUCUCCGAGUGGGGCAUAGAGGCUUAUCAUCAAACACAAAGUCGACGUAGUAGGUGAUGCCAUAAAGAUCUUCACUUCAAGGUUUUGACCCAUCAAAAGCAGGUCCUCGGAAGAGGAACUCCUCCUUUAUCACCGCAUGCAAAGGUCCAAUCUUUAUCUACUAGCGAAAGGAGAACCGACCUCACAGCGUGGAAUUCAAAUGUCCUCCAAGUUGUUCCUCCGUCAUGUCGCUCGGCCACCAAACGAAACCAGGACUCGAGCACGCAAGUAGAAGAAACAAGUCUCCAUGAGACGACGCUUUGAGUUUCGCGUAGAAUCAUGAUGGACCUCAUCGAGAUUCGCGCAGGCCCACGAUGCACACCCGCGCUGUCGCGACUCAGUGUCCCGUCCUUAACCCAUAAGCUUCUCUCCACCUACAAAAGCCUCAUCACCUACCUACAUGGAAGUGCUGUUCCUUAGCAUUACGUUCAUAAACUAUGUAUUUGAAAGGUGAGUAUCCUCCUACGAGGAAACAAGAUCACUAAUUAACGUUUCAUGCAUGUAAUGAGUGUUGGUUUGACAAACAGUGGGCUUGCAAAAAUCUUCCAUGGAGAGAAGCAUGCUUGUCAAAAUAGUUGGCUAGCCAGCUGCAAGAAGUGGAACUCCUGCAUCCGUUUGGCAGAAGAGAGUGUCAACUCUUUCUCAUGCCGGAUCGACUUGCCUAACAAAUCCAAAAAGAAGGAUGUGAAGAUUGUCGACCAUGUCCUUCCUCGAGGCUUUUUAUAUCUUACCAACCGAGCCUUCACAAAAACUUUGCAGCUGACCUUUCAUGAUCAUCCCAUGGAAGAAAACAUGAUACCACUAUGUGCUAACCACUCCGCAGCUAGCGUUGAACACGAACGAAUGCUUCUAAUGCUCAAAAGCUCAAAGCAGUCACAGGAUGAUGAGGAUGUUUCAACGAAGAGGAAUCUUUCUGAUAAUGAUGUGGGAUGUCAUCCAUCGACUGGUGCCGUUGUUUUGUAGCCCUUUGUUGGCUGAAGACAAUAACUUUGAUCGGUUCUCUUAGACCAUUCUCUCACGUAACGUGUAGAGAUAGUGCAUGUUGACGCGUUGGUUUUGUUGGGUGUGUAUAUAGAUGGAGCUUGUGCAUGCCCUCGGCCAUUCCAUCACGGCUUGUUGCUCUUCCCGGACUCCAAAGCUACGACAUCUCCCUCACAAUAGGCAAGGUUUCCUUUCUUCUUGUCAUCUCCCUUCUCGUUCCUCGUCUUGUCAGUUCUCAUAUGGAUGGAUAACCACCAGUGUUUCAUACAAUCUCACAGGCACAAGGGGAGAGAGAGAGAGAGAUGAGUUCUCAAUUGCAUGCAUGGCUACCAAUGUACACUUUCUCUUGAAAGAGAGAGCUGUCUAUAGACGAUUUCUACCGGGAUUUAGAAUGGAGUCGAUCUAGUAAAUGCUAUCUUAUUAAUAGUUACCAACCGUAUCUAAGCUUAUGGGAAGCAAGGCACCCUACUUUGAUCACUUCCCUACCAAACCCACCUUACCUACAUGCACCAUAUAGCUCAAACAGCCCAAUUUGUGUCAAAAGCAUUAUUCUUCUCUCUUUAAUCUACGUAUGCCGCAAUUGUUUCAUGCGUGGCAAGCAACUCAAGAUGACCUACCAUGUUCAAGAUCAAUCAUAGAGAGAGAGAGAUAUAUAUAUAUAUAUAGUUGCUUGUGCUUGCCACAUCCGACCCCAUAAUCAUGCUGCAUGUUAAGUAAGCUCUUUAUCGUGCUCUUAUGGUGGCAAUAGCUGUUGUUCGUCGCAGGAUAUAUACAGAAAAUCGAUGAUGGCAAAGUUGGUGCUCGCUGUUCUCGUCCUAAUCGUCGGCCUCGCUGCCGGAAACCGAUCGCCUCCUGCUGUGACCGAUAAGACCCUUCGAAGGAUAGCUCACUCUCUGAAGAAGUACAUCGAACCCCUCCCCAUCGUGCCCAAGAUCUCUGGCUAUUCCACGCAGGAUGGACAUCCAAAGUCUAUCAGUCUCACCAUUGGCAUGUUCCAUAAGAAAUGGGUAACAUUCUAUUUCCUCGAAACUUGCUGUAGCUUAUUAGGACAUGUGGAGACAUCUUAAUGAAUUGUUGCAUGGUCGAUCGGUCUUACAUAGUUAAAUUUAAUGUAUUAAAAAUCAUGGUAUAUAUAAUGUUAAUCUAUGUAAUUUCUCCUUUAUUUGUUCAUGCAGAAGUUCCACCGGGAUUUGCCCGCCACCACCCUCUUCGUCUACGGCGCUAGCCGCGAGGCGGCCACAUUCCCAGGCCCCACCAUCGAGGCCCUGCAGGGGGUCCCACUCAAUGUUACCUGGGAGAACCACCUCCCGGAGAAGCACAUCCUGCCUUGGGACCCGACGGUCCCGGUGGCCAUCGCCAAGCACGGCGGCGUCCCUGCUGUCGUCCAUCUCCACGGCGGCGUCCAUGAGCCGCAGUCCGACGGCAGCGCCUUCGCGUGGUACACCGCCGACUUCCGUGACAAGGGCACCAAGUGGACGCAGGCCACCUACCAUUACCCCAACGUGCAGCACCCUGGCAAUCUCUGGUACCACGACCACGCCCUCGGCCUCACCCGCGCCAACCUCCUCGCCGGCCUCAUCGGCACCUACGUCAUCCGCAACCCCUUGGCGGAGGCCCCCUUCGGCCUCCCCACCGGAGACGAGUACGACCGCCAGCUCGUCCUCGACGACCGGAGCUUCUACGAGGACGGCUCCCUCUACAUGAACUACACCGGCAACAACCCCACCAUCCACCCGCAGUGGCAGCCCGAGUACUUCGGGGAGGUCAUCGUGGUCAACGGCAAGGCGUGUCCGUACCUCGCAGUCCAGGGCCGCAGGUAUCGCUUCCGUAUCCUAAACAGCAGCAACGCCCGUUACUUCAACCUCUCCUUGUCCAACGGCUCGUCCUUCACCGUCAUCGGCUCCGACGUGUCGUACCUCCGGAAGCCCGUCACCGCGUCGUGGAUUCUCCUUGCACCGGCCGAGAUCUUCGACGUCGUCGUCGACUUCUCCGAAUCAAAAACUUCCACCGUCAGGCUAACGAAUAGCGCGCCUUACCCAUUCCCCGGCGGAGACCCGGUGAGCACCCUGAGCAGCAAGGUCAUGAAGUUCGUCGUAUCUCCCAAGAAGACCAAGGACGACUCUAGGAUUCCAGCUAGCUUGAUGACCAAUUACCCCAAGGCGGACGAGAAGGAGGGGACGGUACGGAGGUACAUCGUGUUGUACGAGUACCAGAGCACGACGGGCGAGCCGACGCACCUGUAUAUCAACGGGAAGAGACUGGAGGACCCGGCGACGGAGACGCCGAAGCAGGGGAGCACCGAGGUGUGGGAGGUGAUCAACCUGACAGGGGACAACCACCCUCUUCACCUGCAUCUGGCGACGUUUCAGGCGGUGCGGGUGAGGGAGCUGGUGAAUCUGGAGGCGUUCAAAGCGUGCAUGACGCGGAAGAACGACGCCGUCAAGUGCAACGUGAAGGCGCAUGCGACGGGGCAGCUGAAAGCCGUGCCGGAGCACGAGAAGACGUGGAAGAACAUAGUGAAGAUCGAGCCGGGCUACAUGACCACGAUCGUGGUGAAGUUUAAGCUCAUCGAUAGAGACGCGCACUACCCGUUUGAUGCAACAGCCGAGCCAGGUUACGUCUACCAUUGCCAUGUAAGUGAUUCCUAAGUGCGCCCUUCUUAUGUGCAGAGCAUAUGGUCUGUGUGACUCAACUGACUUGCAAUUCCUUGUGUGCGUGCAGAUUCUUGAUCAUGAAGACAACGCAAUGAUUCGACCCCUGCUGCUGAAGCAUUGAUGGAGGACAAAGCGUUCCUCGUUGCAAAUUCCAGCAGCUACAUGUACGUCAUUACAGUACAGCGGUACAAUAGGCUAUAUGUGUUUCAUUUCCUUGCUCCUCUAAUCUCUAUCGUUGGGGUUUUAGAGUUGGGACAUAAAUAAAGCCCGACAAAGGAGUGUUUGUCUUCGUCUACGUAAAAUUUGUAGCCUUGUGAUCGAACGUAUUGUAUUUGUCUCGAGCACUUUGUCAGUUGUUCGUAAAGUGUUCUCCCAAUAAUAAGUCAUAUUUUCCCACAUAGUUAGGAGCAGUCAAGCGUUCGUCUCUUCAUGCUCAGUGUGUGUGUGUGUGUCAGUUUGUUCGACGUUCAAACAAGCUGGUGGUGCGGUUCACUGUGACCGAGUAAAGGAGAGAGAGAGAGAGAGAGAGAGAGAGAGAGAGAGAAGCGUCUGAAAGAGACGAGGGCAAAAACCGAGAGCUAAGGACAAGCGUCUCAUUCACUAAGGGGCGGCUCUUAGAGCGCCAGAUGAACAAACCAAACGAGGAACGCUGCAAAAUGGACCCUCCUCUCAAACGCCUCUUCUUCUUCUUCUACUGCUAAUUCCUACCACACUCACCGAACUGACUCUCAUUCAUUCCACAAGUAGUAACUUAAAUGGGGGUGAUGAAUGAGCUGCAAAAAUUUCCAGUCAACUAGAAGUCAAAGUCCAUCCACCGCUCGAUGACGUCAAGGCUGGGGAAAUCUCCGUCGUCGAUCUCGUCGUCUAUGGGGAGAUCCGCCAGGGGAACCAACUCGUUAGCAUAAAGAUCCGACCCGAAAUUGCACAUGAGGAACGGAUCGAACCCGAAUCCGAACUCCGCCUCCAUCGGGCAAGGAAGGGGCGGCCCUUGCCCCUCGAACAGCUCUGCAAUGGACUGCUCCUCCACUUCCACCGCCGUUGUAGUUUUUGCCGGCGGAUCCACGACGCCGGAGAUAGGGACGUCCAGUACGGAGUAGGGGGAGGCCGGGGCCGCCACUUCCACGGCGUCGGAGCGCACCGAGGCGCAGGCGGCGGCGGUGAUGGUUGUGGUCGAGGAGUUGGAUGACGCGACGGAGGAGAGGCCCUUCUUCUCAGCCUGGAAGACGAGAGCGGCGGCAGCGUAGGCGGCGGCGGCGGCCUCCGCGGUGUCGUAGGUGCCGAGCCAGCGGCGGGCGCCGCGGAUGGGGUCGCGGAUCUCGGCCGCCCAUUUCCCCCACGGCCGCCGCCUGACUCCCUUAAACUUGGUGAGGGAGGAAGCGGUCGAAGACGAGGUGACAGAGCCGAGACAUCUGUCCUUGGGUUUCCGAAGGGCUUUUGAGUUACGCCCGGUGCUCUCCUGCGACGAGGCCUGCGCCAGGGGAAGAGGGAAAGGGGGAGGCAACGGGAACUCGUGAAUCGCCCUCUUCCCGCGGGGGGAGUUCGUCCCCUCGCAAUCGCUCGAAUCAGUGGCGUCAGGAUCAUCGAAAACGAUGCGGAUUCUUCGCAUCAACUGUUUGGAUUCGAUCCUGGGAGUAGAAUCGGAUCGUUGGAGCUGCUUUAACCCCCUCCUCCUCUUCCCCAUCUUAUCCUGCUUCAUUCCACGCUGCAGCUCCAGCACUUUGCUUCUCUUCCCAACACCCAAAACAAAAAAGGAACAAAACCGAAAGAAAAUUAAGCAAAAAAAAAAAAAAGUAGGUGGUUUUGAUCUCUCCGUCAAGUGAAGUCUCCUCUAGAGAUGAUGUCAAGGUAAUAGCACCGCUUUAUAUGCUGAAAUCCAAAAUACUUCACUCCAAACCCAACCCUGCAACAAAAAAUUAGAGAAAGCCCUAACAAUCGAUCUUUCCCGAAUCUUAUCUUCUAAGAGAAAUAACGAGAAUGAGAGGGGUGGGACGGAUGGGUACCGGAUAUAUCGCAUCGAAUCCGUCUUCUUGGAUCCCUCCGGCCUCUGUCGCAUGCGGAUAGAAGAUGAGACGUGGGAAGAGGAGGAGGAGGAGCAAAAAGGCGAGACCACCGAUGGUACAAGAGGCAAAGCACUGCUGAUCCAAAGCUUCGAUCUUUCCGGGACGGAGCGACGAUAGACGGAAGGAACCAGACGACAUAAAUCCAACCUCUCGCUCGCUCCUGUCCUCUCUAAAACCCCGGGAGGAGGAGGGCGGAGGGCAGCGCCAAAGGAAGGAAGGAGAUGGGGUCGGGGCUCAUUUAUAGCAGCAGCAAGAGCGAACCGGAAAGGGGUGGGUGAACGAGUGACCCUGAUCCGUCGCCGGCCCCACCUCCUUUGGUGCGAAUCUCGACGAGAGCGAUCAGUAAUCAAACGGCUGAAACAACCAUCGGGUGAGAAGCGGGUUAGUGUCAUUCGCGGUGCGUGAUUUAGACGAUAAAUAAAUAAAAUAUACCCAAAAAAAGGUUUCCUUUUAUUUUAGAAUUAUUACUUUCAAGAAAUAGGUGAAGGAGAAAAACAAGAAGAUACUUAAAUAUCAGAUUCAUACGGUGGUGAGGAAAGAUUUGCGGUCAACUUACGGUGGCCUCGUUCAUGUACAUGAUUGAUAUGACAGAAAUUUUUUGUUCAUCGGAUCUUAAAAAAAUUUGUUUUUUGAGAGAAUAAUCGUGAUAGAUUCGUACUGUUUGAUUGAUGCACUCGUUAUCUUUGGUAAGAUAUUAGAUUGAGAUCUUCAUUCAAAUGGAAACAAAUAAAAUAAUUAGAUUGAUAUUAUUAUUAUUAUUGUUGUUGUUAUUAUUCAGAUAUAAAAUCUACGUGCAUGCAUGCUUGACUUGGCAUAAUCUAUUGAUUAAUUGGCCCUACGUACGUUGACGAAAAGAAAAAGUCAAAACCUGGAAUAGUUCACCUGAUGACGAAAAGAUUAGGAACGUGUCAUUCACUCAUUAUGUUUUGCAAUGUAUCAAAUAGAUAACUCUAGUCAUCAAUUUCUAUUAAGUUAAGUGAUCGUUGGUUAAAUAUAAACAAAUAGAAUGGUUAGAUUUACCCUAAUGAAUAUUAUUAUUAUUAUUAUUUAAAGAUAAAAUCUACCUUUUACAACCAACCAAACGUGCGUAUGCGCAUGAGUUUGACUUGGACGAAAAAUCAAAAGUCAAAAUUUGAAAUAGUUGACCUUUACAAGGGUUUAUAAUAUUAUCUAUCGCAUGAAAUAAAGUUGAAAUCAUCAGUGGAUAUGAUGAUUUACAACUUUAUGUAUAUACCAACUUAAAUCCAUAUUAUUAUUAUUGGACUAUAUAUAUAUGUUUAUGUUUAUGUCAAUUUUAUUUCUUAUCUCCUAUGACAAUUUAAAAAUAAAUAAAUAUCAUUUUCACAAACUAAUUAUUAAUUAAUGCCAAAAUUCAUGUAGUUUUUCUUGUAAUCCCAAUUAGUGCAGUAGUAACCCAUAUCACAAGUAAAUCGUUUUUCUUCGAAUUACUCCACAAUUCUACACCGUUGGAUGCCCAUCAGAAGGUCGAGUCAUGUGGAUUACAUCGUUGAAUUAGAAAACCGAUGACCCCUUUACUGCUUCUCACGGCUUUCGCCUUUCACGGACAAACACCACCUACCGUUUCUAAAAACAAGGAAAAGGUAAGAGAGAGGAGAAGCGUCCGAUUUCCAUCAGACGGCAGGCAGCGUCUCUGACCGCCACGAGAGAUCCGCGUACUCCGGCGCCGCGCACGCUGUCGCGUCGCCGUAAUCGAAAAGCUCGCCGUCGAACACUACCACGUCCUCCGCCUCCGCCCCGAUCCCAAGUUCGAAUCCAACGUACCCACUGAGAUCGUCGUCGUCGAACCCCCAGAUCUGGCCGAACCCGAUCCCCUCCUCCUCAUCGUACGCUUCGCUGCCAUCACCGGACGAGGACGGAGCCGGCGGUGGCAGGCCGAGCUCGUCGUCGGAGGCCUCGAAGAGGUACCCCAAGUCCGGCGGGUCCGACACCGCCGCAUCCUGCGGGGGUACGUGCGGCGGGGGCGAGGGGAGGGCCAUCUCCUCCUCGAGGCUCUUCAUGACGGAGGUGACGUCCUGGUCCCCGGCGUCGGCGUCGGCGUCGUCGUCGUCGUCGUCGAGGAUGUCGAGGAGAAGGCGCUUGGCCUCCGGAGACGACAUCUGAGGCGAUUCCUCCUCGCCCUCGUCGCGACGCCUCUUGCGGCUGAUGGACGGAGAAGACAUUUCCAUUAGGGUAAAAUGGGAAAAAGGAAGGAAAAGCGCACGGAGAACAGCACUAGUACGCGUGUGAAUAGGUUCGUGAACGGCGUAGGGGACUUAUAUAGGGAGGCGAGGGAGGGGGGUUUGGGAUUUUGCUCUUCUCUUUCCCAGGGGCUUUUUCGUAAACAAGAAAAGUAUUGGCCGAUUGUACCAGACGCUCAAUAAGUCACGAAACACGGGGGGCUUAAGGUGGAGGCGCAGUGGGCGCGGAGAUCGGGGAAUAUGGGGGCCACCGCAUCACGAGCGCCGGGCGGGUCGCCUUUUACUUUUGGUUUGGCUUCGUCUUCUCGGCUCGGCUGGAGACGGUUUCCCCUAUCUUAAUCUCCAUCGGCGAGUACCGUUUCCUGCGGCUUCUAUGUUGUUUGGGGAAUCACUAACGGAUCCAAACCCUCUCUCUUUGACCGCGUUUUGGAUAGGAUAACUUUGAAUCGAUCAAAGAUAAUUGAAAUUUUAGUUGCCCUAAAAUGUUAAUAUGGCCACGUGUUCUAGUCACCCUCGCGAGAUUCCAUCUGCGUCCCGAAACUUGCGCCCACCGACGCGGGCACGUUGGCGAUGGCGUCGAGGGAGGUAGGGAAGUAGCUGCAUGAGUGGCUGCAAGUGGUGUUCGGUGGUCGAUCGGGGACAGCGAUUCGAUGCGGCAGAGGGUUAGUGGCAUUUAUCAUCCAGCUCUCAGUGGCGUGCGGCUCGUGAUGACUCGUGCGACGGCUGGCCGAACCGGUGGAGCACGGGCAGGAGGACACGUGGGUAGCGACGGCAACGUGGCAGGCGUCAGACCGAGACGGGGAGGAGAUCACGUGAGACCGGAAAAGAGAGAGAGAGAGAGUGCGCGUGUGCGUGUGAGGGCUGCGGGUGUGGGGACCACAAAGCGGGCGUGACCGACAGGUGAAAUAAUUGAGAGAGACAGAUCGGUCAAAGAAGCGAAGCGACGAAGCAAAGGCUGCGGUGGGGCGGGGACCACCGCCAACGUGUUCGUCUUCCUCCUCCUCCUGUCGCCAUUCAAUGACAAUAUAUAUAUAUAUAUAAUUUUUUUCCUUAGAUUAACAUACUAUAAUUGACAUGAAUUUUUGCCUCUUGCAAUAUUGUUUAUUGUAAAGUAUUAGAAGAACACAGUUGUAAGCUUGUAGUUUGUUUUGACGAGGUUUAGGAAUCAUUAGGUUAAUUUAUUGUAUUUAUCUUUAUUCUUUAUAGUGUUUUUUAAUGAUCUGUCCAAAACAUAGUUUAGUUUUUGAAAAACACUAUAAUUGACAUACACAUCUACCUCAUAUGAUAUCGUUGAUCAUAGAAUAUUAGAAUACUAUAUUUAUAAGCUUUUUCUUAUUUUGGUAGAAUAUUAGAAUACUUAUUUAUAAGCUUUUUUUAUUAUUUUGGUUGAGAUUAAGAUUCAAUAGUUAUAUAUAUAUAUAUAUAUAUAUAUAUAUAUAUAUAUAAUAAUAAUAAUAAUAAUAAUAAUAAUAAUUACUUUAUAUAUAUAAAUAAUAAUUAUAUAUCUAUUCGUAUCUCGUGGUCGAGUCCGCGUUCCGUUAGCCGGAACAGCGUUUCCCUCGCCGCUACCAGACAUAACCCAUCCUCGAUCUUUGUCGCUUGUGUUCUGUCACGUCUGUUCGAACAAGGGAGGAGGAGGAGGAGAGGCGGCAGUUCCCCACGCGAACGGGAAGCUCUCUCACUCUCCCCCUUUAUUGCUUUUAUCCGCUUCUGCUCGUUCCUAUAGUUCUUGUCCACUGUCUUCCUCUGUUGUGUCUUAGGGUUCUUGAGUCGUUGUUGGGUCGCGGAUGAUUUCUUACAGCCGAUAGUGUCGAGUGUUUCUUAAUUCUUAGGUUUCUGCAGAAUAUUGAGUAGUAUAUAUGUGACACAUUAUUUCCUGCAACCCUUAGUAUCUCCGUUUCUGAGUUAGGGUUUUUCGAGAAUAUUGGGUGUUAAUUGCGUGACGGAUGAUUUCUUGCAACCCUCGGUUCACGUUUUGGGCUGCUCGGCUUUACUUGGGCUGUUCGCUUUAUCGAAUUGUGCUUCUUGAAUCGGCUAUGGAGAUUUAGUCAGGUCGUUUGGCAUGAAUUUUGGACAUAAGCUUUCGCAAAGCACUCAGAAUUUCGUUUUCUACAUCAUACCAAACUUAUUAGGAUUUGAGAAUGCUAAGCUUCCUCCAAAAAGCUACUUUUGUUGUAUGCAUAUGAAAGGUGGACAUACCACCUGCUUUAAGCAUCCGUCAGAGCUUUACAUCUAACUAGUAUUAUAAUUUGUUCCCAAGUAGAGGGUUUUUUGGCAUGGAUUUUGGACAUAUAGUACCUUUUUGUAACAAAAGAAGUGGUUCUAUUAAUUCAUUGGCAACUGUGACUUGCUGGAUGGUUGGGAAGUCUACUUGCUGGUGGAGGUGGAAGCAGUCGUUUUAACUCAUAGUGCUUUUAUUUGUGCCAUUGAAGGUCUAUUAGGAGCAACAUUGAUGAUCAUAAGUCAUAUGGGAGGCCCAAAUCAGGCAGUUUCAGGAAACGAUCUCGAGACCAGUUUGAUAAUGCGAAAAGGAAGAGGCAUAAUUCUAGCCUUGGUCGUGGUUCUACGACAACUAAACCUAUUGAUACUAUUUAUCGCAUACUUUUGUCCUGUGAAAAAGAUUGGUAAUGUUCUUGGGAAAGGAGGUGAAAUAAUUAACGCGCUCAGAGGUGUGACCCAUGCAAAGAUAAGGGUUGCAGAUGCUGUUCCCGGGGCAGAGGAGAGAGUAGUUAUGAUCUUUUGUUACCUGUGGCAAUCCGAAAGAAAUGAUUCUGAUCAGGAUCCCUAUGAUAAUGAUGGAAUUGAGUUAGAGGAUAUGCGUUCCCGUUGUCCUGCACAAGAUGAUUUACUGAAGAUCCACUAUUGGAUUGCUGCAGAUGAGAUUCUACGAGGUGGUGUGAUACAAGAAAAUACUGAACCUGAUGGUGUUGUUACUGCUCGAAUUUGGUUCGCCAAGAAUCAAGUUGGGUGUCUUCUUGGCAAGGGUGGAACAAUUAUUCAGUAACUUCGAGGUGAUACUGGUGCAAAUAUUCACAUAUUGCCUUCGGAUCGCUUUCCACCUUGUGCCAGGAACAGUGAUGAACUAGUACAGGUAAUAAUACCAUUUCAUGGGCAAUUUAUAAUUUGUGUUUUUGAAGUUUGCUAUGGUAAUUGCGAACCAUGUGAAGAAUCUCUGCUCUUUUAAAAUUAAAGCUUGUUUGAACAUAUGCAAUUGGGUGCUUCGGAUUGUGAUUUUGAGAUGCAUGGUUCUUCUAAUCGAUCGAAGACAAAGUCUGCCACCAUCUCGAGCAUUCCAUCCAUAUUAGUCUGACUCGGAGUAAGAGUUUUUUUUUCCUCCAUGAUAAAGAAUGAGAGUAUAUGCUUGCUUAUAUAUAUCUGUUAUUGUAGACAAUAGUAUGUUUAGAGGCUUGAAGGUGAUCAUUCUUUUCUCAAUGAAUUGAUAAUAUUGUUGUUCCCAGUUGUUUUAAUGCAUGCAUGCUGAAUUCCUCUGGAACAAUGAAGAUGCUUUUGCUGGAUGCCUUUAGCCAUCCAUUCGUUUUGAACAGUUGCUCUAUGCGCAGUUCUCUGAAGGACCUGCCAGCAUCGGAAAUCAAAGCCUCCCCAAACCAACUCGAAGAAUCAAAAGAACAAGCAGCAAGUUGAAGCUGGAGAGGAUGAUUUCACCCUGAUGCGUUUUCCUAGUCGUUCGAAGCAAGUCCAGCAAAAUUCAGAAAAAAGGUUCGACAUCUGCCUGCAUCUCAUGUGACUUACACUAGCCUAGAAUAACCAAGUACACACAUACACACACACAAAAGAAGGUAAAAGCAAGUUCUUUUGCUGCAAUGGUGAUUCCCUUUUGAUCCCUUUGGGUCACUCAUCACACCAGGAUUUGUUGCAUUUGAUGCUCUUGCGGGCGCAACACAAAUUGUGAUAUAACAAACGUAGUUCAGUUUGCUUCACUGCUUUUACAGGUGAUGAUGAGCCCGCCAUACCCCACCUUCCGGGUGUCACGUGCCAAACCUCUUUGGUCAUAUUAUGCCAUCGAGUCAAAGGGUCAUUGGAGCCAUGCCGGAGUUUAGCUUGUAAUUGUUGAAUCAGGUCACCACUGCUGACCCACUUACUUUCAGAGGAUAUGAUGAUAACCUUCGCUUUAAGAGUUUUGUUCGUGUCAUCCCACUUUCCUCACCACAAAGCAGCAGUUCGUCAUCGUGCUCGCUGCAACGCACAUUACCACCACCCCACCCUCAUAAAUGGACACCGGCAGUCUCCCCCUUGCAUUCCUCCGAGUGAUUGGCCUGCAAGCUCCCAGCUAACCAGUUUCUCAUCUCUCUUGACAUGGCCAAACCUCCCAAGAAUAGGCUGUGAUGUUUGUCUUCCAUGUCUCCGCCUUCCUCGUCCUCCUCCACCUCGUCACCUUCCUCCUUACCAAGCUGUUCACCUCCCUCCUUGAAAGAGUUGCCGCUUCGACAGACCAAAGGUACUCAACUACGUUGAUCCUCUCUUUCUUACUGUCUCUUUACUAACCUUCUAUUGCAGGAAUUCGCAGCUCAUCAGCGAAGAUGAGAUCAAGCCCAUAACAACGUACGAGUGCUACUCUGAUGUCGAAGAGUUAGCUGCCAGCAUCUUUGGCACGGAAGACGGCCUACUGUUUUUCUACGACGAAAGCAUCACUGCUGAUACCCCACUUCUCGAAGAAGCAAAAGACUUCGAUGAGCGACACGCCUUCAAAGUCGACGAAAGCUUUGUCGCAGAAUCCCCUCUGGAAGACCAUGAAGGUCUCGGGCUCGAGCAUGGCGAUGUUGCGGCGAUCGUCGACCUAAAACCAUCGAAUCAUCCACCUUCAAUCAUAUCUAAUGGGCCUCUAAAAGGUACCUUUAGAUGCCACUACUUGUUGGAAGCAUAAAGCCUUCUGUUGAUAUAGCUUAUGCUGUUGAUUACAGAUGAAGAUACGGGUGGGGAUGCGCUCCACAGCAAUGAAGAUGAGAAGCAGCAGGAGUUGUCAAAGAAGGAGAAACUCUUCAUCGUCGACCGAACCCAUUCUGUCGACAGCAAAAGGUUGCAGCUGGAGGAGGACACGUUCGGUGGUUCUCUCACAGGUGCAUCGACAUCCAAGAGCUCUAUGGAGUGGAGAAGCUCCACGAUCUUCAGGGACUCGGAGACAGAAUGCCCCUUCUCCUCCUCAUCACGCAGGAGCUCUUCCAACUGGGAAACGUACACCUUGUUCCGCAAGUACGACGAGGAGAUGAUGUUCUUCGAUAGAAUCAGCGCACAAAAGCUGACGGAAACAGGUCACUCGUCAUGCAUUUCUCACAUCCUCCCUCGACAAAUUUGGUUCACGUAUUGACAAGAUCACGUAUACCGUAAUUUUCAGAAUUAUUUAGAUCGAUGAAGUUCCAACCAAGAUCAACCUCGCAAAGGAUAGCUCACAUAUUUACAACACACAAGAACAGGGGAAGCAGGGAUCCGUAUCAAGAACUGGAGGGUGCUUAUGUGUCUCAGAUUUGCCUCGCAUGGGAAGCUCUUAACUGGAAUUACACCAACUUCCGGCGAAGGAUUGCCAAGGGAUCAGACAGCGAAAGCUCUUCUUGCACCGCAUGGAUAGCUCAGCAAUUCCAACAGUUCCAGGUCCUCUUGCAGCGAUUCAUAGAAAAUGAGCCUUAUGAGCGCGGUCGGAGGCCCCAAGUCUUCGCUUGGAAGCGGAUUUCUUCUCCAAAGUUGCUCCAAGUUCCUGAGUUCCGAGGUUGCUACACACCUGUCUCCUUUGCCUCAUUGCCUAUCUUUUAGACUUUCCCAAGUGCUAACCUCUCUCUCUCUCUCUCUGCAUCACUGACCUCAAAAGAUACAGAAGCAGAUGAAGGUAAAGAAGAAAUGAU